rnacentral:lncRNA from 1 species
AAAGAAUGGCCAAAACCAACUACAAUAAAAGGAUUGCGCGGCUUCUUGGGAUUAGCCGGGUAUUAUAGAAGGUUUGUACGAGGAUUUGGUCAAAUUGCUCAACCUUUAAAUGCCAUGUUGAAGCAUGACAACUUCAAGUGGACUCCUUUAGCAGAACAAGCUUUUGAGAAGUUGAAAGAUGCCGUGACUUAUGCUCUUGUGCUAGCUAUGCCAAAUUUUCAGGAACCUUUUUUCUUGGAGACAGAUGCUAGUGGUGUCAGCAUUGGCGCAGUCCUGUCACAAAACAAACAUCCAGUGGCCUAUUUGAGUAAAACUCUUUCUCCUAAAAAUCAAGCUUUAUUUGUUUAUGAUAAGGUGAUGAUGGCUAUCCUAUAUGCAGUAGAAAAGUGGUGUCCUUAUCUUUUGGGGAGUAAGUUUACCAUUAUCAUUGAUCAUUGUACCUUGAAGCAUUUAUUGGAUCACAGCAUUUCAACUCCUUCUCAACAUAAAUGGCCGGGCAUAGGUUGCAAAAUUACUUGGUUAUGAUUAUUCCAUUGAGUAUAGGCCGAGAUUGUUAAACAUAGUACCUGAUGCUUUGUCAAGACAGUCUGAACUAUUGGCAUUGCAGUCCAUCUCUGCUCCAGUCUUUGGAAGUUUAAACCUCAUUAGACAAGCUUGUUGAUCGUUCGAUUGUUUCUGAUCGUGAUCCUAUCUUCAUAAGUCAAUUCUGGACAUCUUUUUUCAAGUUGCAAGGAAUAAGUACUCUUUGUCGCAGCUCUGCGUAUCAUCCUCAAUCCGACGGUCAGACAGAAGUUGUUAAUCGAACUUUAGAGCACUACCUUCGAUGUUUUGUUGCAGACAAGCCUGCAUCUUGGGGUGAAUUGAUUCAUUGGGCAGAGUGGUGGUAUAAUACCACAUUUCACUCCACCAUUAAAAUGACUCCCUUUGAAGCCUUGUACGGCCGUCCUCCUCCAUCUAUACAAUGAUACAUGCCUGGUUCAACUAAUGUCCAAGCUGUUGACGCUGCUCUUCGUUCUAGAGAUGAGCUCUUGCAGUCAUUGAAACACAACAUGCAUUUGGCUCAAAAUCGUAUGAAACAACAGGCCAAUAAACAUCGUUCUGAAAGGGAAUUUUCAAUUGGAGAUUGGGUUUACCUUCGUCUGCAUCCUUACAAGUAAAGUUCUUUGUCAAAGCGUACUUCUCAUAAGCUGGCUCCAAAAUAUUUUGGACCAUUUCGUGUGUUAGAACGAAUUGGCUUUGUCGCCUAUCGGUUGGAUUUGCCUACUUCUUCAAAGGUUCAUCCGGUGUUCCAUGUUUCUUUACUGAAGUUGAGGAUUGGUAACUCUGUUAUGACAUUACAGAUUUUGCCACCUAUGCAUAAGCAUGGUUGCUUUACAUAGAGUCCAUUCAAAGUUUUAGAUAUGGAUGUGUUUACCGAAAAAGGCAAAUUAGAAACUUACUGGUUUCUUCAAUGGACGGGGAUGCCUGAGGAAGAUGCGACUUGGGAACUUGCUAAAGCUAUUAUGGCUCAGUUUCCUCAAUUCAGCGACCGAGGACGUCUUGCCUCUCAAUGGGGCGGUAUUGAUGGGAUGCAGUAGCUGCAUAUCUCUUAUUCUUCUGUACUUCCUUUAUUCUAUCUUAGUUCUUUGUCUGUAGUAGGUUUGGGUUAUUAGACCCAGUAUGUAAAAGGUCCAUCUGACCCAAUAGUAGCCCAAUAGUAGGAGUAGUUAUCUCUAGCAAUUAGUAGUUCUCUGGAUAUAUAUCUUUAUUCUGUAAACUGUAUGGGUAUGAAUGAAGAAACCAUCUUAAUACACACACACACACACACACACACACACACACUCUCUCUCUCUCNNNNNNNNNNNNNNNNNNNNNNNNNNNNNNNNNNNNCUCUCUCUCUCUCUCUCUCUCUCUCUCUCUCUCUCUCUCUCUCUCUCUCUCUCUCUCUCUCUCUCUCUCUCUGUGUGUGUGUGUGUGUGUGUGUGUGUGUGUGUGAAAACACAAAAAGUUAGACAUUUUGUAAGGACCGUUUGUUUUACCGCAUAUAAGUCCUGAUAGGAAAAAUUAUUGCCAACCUGAUUGAUAGCGUUUGGGGAGAUGGAUAACUUGCUCCCAGAAAAUAUUUAUCAUGUUAGAGUUUCAUAACAAAUCCAGUUAGAACGGUAAGAUAAAACUUAUCCACCCAGGUUUUCUCUCUUUCUACAACCACGUGUCCAUGUGCUUACUCUGAGAGAAAAUAAAGGUGAAAAGAAAAUAACAAACUACAUAUACCUCUUUCAAAAAGAUUUGAAACACAAAUACAUCUACUAACAAUGUUUUUAAACAAAUAAAGACAAUUUUUAUCAAAUAAGGACAAAUUAUUUUGUGUUUGCCAUGUGUCAUGGUUUAAUUUACCAAACUAACCUUAUACAAAUUAAAUCAAAUUAAAUAAGACCCAGUCAUGUCUUGCUUUAGCUGCUAUUGUACUUGCUGGAAUGUUGCUGCAACUGUUAAGUUAUGCUACAACAGUUUUUGUCAAAUUCUGCUAUUGCAGCACUUUUCCUCAAAUUUUGCUAUUGCGAUAGUACUCGUCAAUUUAGUAGUAUUCUGCAACUGCAAAUCCAAUGAGAAACCCAACUUAAACACCGUAUGCCAACAGUAGCAGCAAGACCUAACCAUCAGUAGCAAUAGCAACAAGACCUGAAAUCUACAACAGUAGCAGCAAGACAUGUACUUGUUGCUACUGCACUUGCUGGAAUGUUGCUGCUACUGAACUUGCCGGAAUGUUGCUGCAACUAUUAAGUUAUGCUACUGCAACAGUUUUCGUCAAAUUCUGCUAUUGCAGUACUUUUCCUCAAAUUUUGCUAUUGCGACAGUACUCGUCAAUUUAGUAGUAUUCUGCAACUGCAAAUCCAAUGAGAAACCCAACUUAAACACCGUCAUGACAACAAUAGCAGCAAGACCUAACCAUCAGUAGUAAUAGCAACCUAAAAUCUACAACAGCAGCAACAAAACCUGAUUGUCAUGGCAACAGUAGCAGUAGCAGCAAGACCUGAAAUCUACAACAGUAGCAACAAAAUUUGAUCGUCAUGACAGCAGUAGUAGUAUAACUUGGACAUAUCCCUCAAAAGCUACCAAUGAGAUCGACUACUCUACCACCACCCCUCUCCAGGUCGUCAAGCUCCACACCGCCUACUUUAAUAUCAUCUACUCUAAAGUAUUAUCACCCAAGAUAGCUUCCCUGCCAUGAGAGAUGAUCUCCAUCGUUGAUUUCUAGAUCGUGCUUAUGAUGUCGUCGAUCACAUGCCCGACUUACUUAAGCGACAAUUGCGCCAUUGACGCGUCGACCUCGAGCGUAAGGACACUACUCAGAUCACUGUUUAGAGGUUUGAGAGAGAGAGAGAGAGAGAGAGAGAGAGAGAGAGAGAGAGAGAGAGAGAGAGAGAGAGAGAGUAGUAGAGAGAGAGNGAGAGAGAGAGAGAGAGAGAGAGAGAUGUAAAUUAGAUCAUGUGUGGAGGAGAAAAAAAUGUGGCAAUAUGUGUAGUUUUAUCAUAAAGUUAGGGUAUAUUGGUUAUUUGAUAGUGAAAGUUUGGAUAUGCCUAACAUUAUUGAUAUUAGGAUUAGGCUUAGUGUCAUUAUUUGUCUAAAUCUUUUUAAAGAUGAGUUUUUUUGUAUUAUGUAACUGUUUGAGGCAGUAGUAUGUUAUAUUCUCAAAAGAAAACCACGUGCUUGUCCAUCUUUCUUCAACCUUCGAACCAGAUCUCCCUUUUCAAAAGUCAUUGAUCGGUACCACCGUACAGAUAACUUGAUUCUCUUAUUGCCGGCAACCACGACUACCCUCGUCUCAUCUUCAAUCAUCAAGACAACCUGAUCCUUUAAUUGCCGUCGCAUGUACAACAAGUCUGCAACAAAAUGAAAUCGCCGGAAUCAAUGUCAGUUGCCGCCAGCGAUGAGUUCUUCUAAUGGGUCUCUACCAUAGUGAAUUCAAUUGACCUGGAAUCGCUUGUUUCCAUCGAGCCAAAAAAAAUUUCGUUGGGUUGAGUUUUUGUUUUUCUUUAAUUUAAGUUUAUCCGAUCCAGCUUGUUUACUGUUAAGAUCUAAGAUCUAAACAUUGAUUUAAGAUCUAAGCCUUCAAAUCCAAUCUGUUUCCAUUCCAAUCGAAGUCUGACAUGGAUACUGAUCUUUUCCAGUCAGGUCUACCAAACACGGCCUAAGAGUCUAUAGAGUUGUUGGGAAUUUCAGGAUCUGUUUUUGUCUAAGUUGCACAGACACAAUGAUACGAUACGGCACGACACGGCGACAAGGCAAAACUCAAAAACUGAGUUUCCGACAUGGCAAACAGAAUUAUAUAUUUAUAUAUUUUUAAUAAAUAAAAAAUACUAAAUUAUAAUUAUACACAAAAUUUUAUAUAAUUAUACAGAAAAAAAUUAUUUACGACACGUCACGUCAUAAUUAUAAUCUCAUAUAAUUAUGCAGAGAUCGAAUGGGCGAUGUUUUCUUCGUCCGCGUCGUUUCUUGAGUUUCCUCUUCUUUUUUUGAUCAAAAGGAAAUGUUUAUUCAUGAGGAGAGAACCUGAGUUUCCUCUCUUUGUUUGUGUGCAAAUGCUCGACGGAUCUUUACUGCGCCAAUUUAUUUAUUUAUUUAUUUGUAAUUUUUUUUAAGUGAGAAAAACUGAUGUGACAUGUCGUAAAUAGACGUGUCGGGCCAGUUAACGUGUCGGACACUUUUUUUUACCGUGUCAAACUCGUGUCUGCAUGUCGGGAGUGUCCGACACUCCACCCAUGUGAAGUGUUCGUGCAACAUAGGUUUUUGUUAGUGGGAAAAAAAUCCCUAAAUUUAGAGCUAGUGGGUAUUUCCCAUAUUUUUAUUUGUACAAAGGCAAAUUAAUGAUGAUACUCAUGAUAGCAGAAUUGCAUGAAGUUUUGGAAUCUCUGGAGUACUCAAACUAAUGGGAUUGCAGACAAGUAAUGCAACUAUCCUUAAACCAAGGUACCGUGGAUCUCAAGUAUACUACUACCUAGUGUCAACUAAUUAAUCUACAUGAUUACAAAUCAUAUUAUCCAUAAUCAUCAACAUUCCUUUCAGCUCAGCACGUCUUCAUACUCAUCGAUCACGGCAACAAUUGUCUUCUGACGAACCUCUUGCACAGUUAUUGCACCCCAGCAAUGCAUAGGGCACUAACUUUCUUUAUCGUGUCCCUCUUGAUAUACUGCAUAUAUACCAAGCACAGCAUGUGUUAAUCUAUAGGGUAGAAAGUAGAAACAAUACGGUCAUCAUGAGUAGAAUUUAAAUAAUAUAUACAAGUUUUUUCUCGUACCUCGUUUGCUGUGGAUAUAACAUGCUCAUCUACAAUGAUUAUACCAUCAAGAAACUCAGCGCAAAUGGAGAAGCAUUCUUCACCAAUGGCUUCUACUAGUACUUCCCCAUUUUGUUUCUCAAGUAGAACUCUCUUGCCUUUAUGGAAUGACCAUGCCAUUACACUUCUAGUGCGCUCCUCCACACCAAAAACUUUUACCUGCCACAUGAUAUCAACUUAGUUUGAUGCAUAAAACGUAGAAAUUCAAGUUCAACACUAAGAAAUAACCAUAAGGUAACAAACCUUUGGGAAAACCCUCUUUACGUAUGCGGCAAUUCCAGCAAUACGGUUCCCAUCACCGACAGGAACGAAAAUUGCAUGAAGAUUAUCAAUUUUUCCAUCUCCAACCAUUUGAGUGAUUAUCUCCACCCCAAUGGUUCCAUACCCUGUAAUAAUGUCGGUGUGGUCGCGUGAAGGUACAUAGAUUAUGUUUUGAUUUGUAGCAACCUUUUUGGCAUAACCAUCGGAUUCUUGAAUGCAAGUCCCUUUGAAAGCCUUAUAGCAUUGCUUUUUAUCUAAAACAACUUUAAUUUUCUCCCUAUCAUUCUUCGCAAACAAGAAUUGAACAAAAGUUAUACUCCAUUUCAAAUUCAGAAAUUACCAAAGAUCAAAUGGACAUAGAUCACAAAAUCUAAUCUACUUUAUUUGCAUUAAGUAGGCAUAUUUGGGAUCACAACAAGUGAAAGUACCUGUUCAGCAGAAAAAUAAUCAACUGGGAUCGCAACCCUGGCUUCUGAAUUCAAGAGUUGUGCUACACAUGCUACUGUCACUGCAUGUUUUCCAACUGUGCAUAUAAAUGCCCUCCUCUGCAUUUCAUUCAGUGCAUUUGCCAUGAAGUUAUAGGUCCCUCUCCAUCUGUAGGAUGAACCCUGCAUACAUCACAACAUUAGGAACCUAAAACAACUAUGAAUCAAAGCAACAUUAGGAACAAUAGAUAUACUAUAAGUUAUGUGUACUCACAAGUUCCUUCGAGCAGCAGUCUUCUCUUUUGAGUAAUAUCUGUACUUCUUCUGGGGUUGAACUGAACUCACGAGAACAUGUAUGGACUGGUUCUAGGUCCUGUCUUUGAGCAAACUUGCACUCAUAAAUUCUUGACGAGAGUAUGCCACUUAGAAACUUUGGGGAAUUUUCUACAUUAGUGUGUUCAAGGCAAUGCUUCCUCAAUGUUGGGUUAGCUUCGACAAGAGUACCUUUAUCAAAUUCCUGCCCUGGAACUAUCCUUGUCUUCUUACCGUUCCAGAUGCAAACCGCACAAAUCCAAUGCCUAAAACACAACUGAAGCAUCAGUAUACAUGCACAUCAAACAAAACAAUACAAAAGAAAAGAUCAAAAGGAACAUGAAAUAGAGAGAGAGGGAGAGGGAAGUUAAUGAAAAACCACCUGUGUCCACAUAGGUAAGAUGUAGCACUACUAACAACUGCAGUCCCUAAAGGAAGCCACACUGAGGCAAACAACUUCCCAGCAGUGGCUGAGAAAUGGAACUCUCCAUAUCCAAUAGUAUAUGCAGAGACCACAGAAAAAUAGGUUGCAUUUACCACAGAAAAAUCGGUUGCAUUUAACACAGAACAAUCGGUUGCAUUAACUCCAUUGUGAUUCGGCUGCGUUGUGUCACUCAUCUCCUUUGCAUCCCAGAUCCAUAUCCCUAAAAUUCCAGUGCCAAGUGCCAACGACAAACAAUAUCCAAACUAUUGCGAAGAAGGAUUUCCACAUCUGUUUUGUCUUGUCACUAGUGGUAUUGAUAGACUGGAAAAACCACUUCUCCAACUUAUCCCCUACCGAAUUUACCAAAUUUCCAACUGGGUUACCAAAGACAGUACUCAUUACAGUACCCAGUAAAACAAAAGCAACCACCAGACACUUGGCUACAUUUGUAUCAGGAGUCACAUUGCCGUACCCAAUGGUAGUCACGGUGACAAUGACAAACAGUAAGGAGUCGAGGAAACUCGGACGGGCCUCAAAGGAAAGUGUGAUCAGAUACCCUCCUAAUAGGUAGAGAAGAUAUAGGCUUAUACGGAGGGCAAUACAAAAGAACCUGGAUGUCAGCAGUUUCCUGACAUAAAUAAAAUGAAAACAAAAUAUGAGACAAACUGACAAGGUAUAGUGUCAGUUCAUGAAUUUUGCACAAUAUUGAGCUAUAAUGCUAUAUCUAUAGACUACAGUGAUGCAGGGGAGACCUUUAGAACAAUCUUCUCUUACUGGAUUCUAGGAAAUUCAAUUUAGCCGAGAAAUCUGGUACUUUAGGACCAUUAAGGAUUUUAUGAAAUCAACCACAGAGAAUCAAGUAGGAGGAUUUAUAAUAUUUUUAUAGUACUAGCAUCGAGCUACAGGGUCCUAGGUAUCCAACACAGUGGCCUUAGAACCAUAACCUUAUCAGGCAAUUCAUGUAAAUCAAAAACCAUUUCACCGAGAAACUUGAAAAUAGAAAAUCCUCUGAACAAAAAGCCUGUCAUGUAUGAGGUUUCACAUGCUGAAUGCUAUCAAUGCAUAAUUGAAACAACAAAACCACAAUGUGCAAUAACUUUUGGACAUCAAUAAGUUGUAAUAAGUUAAGGAUCACUGAGCAGAGAUGAUGUAGAGCUGUAUAGAAUAGGUGUUUUCUUAAUAAGAUGAAACAGCAGAUUGACGGCUUACAUGGUUAUCAAAGGGAACAUAUAAUAACAAAAGCUUGCGACACAGUUCAACAGCUGUGGAAAAGCGACCACCAAGUACACCUGCAAUUUAUAUAAAGGAAUAAGAACAUGGCUAAGCAUGAAGUUGGAUAAUGCAUGAUAAAAUAGUGCAGUCUGCACUAUUUUACUCUAUGUCGAUUAAUUGCAGGACAAGUAGGGGACAACAUUUAUUGAGAACUAAUUCUCGAUUGUCUAUCAAGUUCCAGAAGAAGCAGAACCGAAAAUCGAUCACAUCUAUAACAGAACAACGUACUGGUGGCUAUAAUGGACACAAGUUGAGGAAGCAGAACCAAAUAUCGAGAAAUCAAUUGAUAGAAUGCAUAAUAUACAGAGUUUGAUGCCUCCUGCUGUUACAGAAAUUCUAUAUAUGAACAAUCAUCAACUCAUGCUAUGCCCAAUCUCAUAUAUAUUGUCUAUAUUUUGCCUUAAUUUUACUGUUACAGGUACCAAAGCUCACAAAUCGAUAUUUCAGUGAAGAACAAAUCGCAAUUUCGCAAGGUCAACACCAGAAUCAGAAUCAAUUGACCAAAUUUACAUUUAAGACUUUGCGGACUGAAGAUCGGAAGCUUACCUUGAUAGUGUCGUGAUCGGGGACUCAGGGGAAGGUCAGGCAACUCCGAUCAGCUUGAGGCUUCCUCCGAUUGUUCAUCUAGGUCAGUGAAGAGAUAGAAUCAGAUCAUAUCAAGAAAACAGAACUGGAAUUAGUCCGUAAUCGAAACUUACGGUGAUUCUUCCUUACCGGGUUCAUCCUCCAUGGAUGACCUUCAAUUCUCCACCUUGCUCUUCGUCUAGGUCUUCUCUCUCUUCGCUUCGCUUCUCUUCUCUUCUCUUCUCUUCUCUUCUCAGUCUUCUCUCGCUUCGCUUUGCUUCUCUUAUCGUCUCCGAUAAACGAGGAUUCAAAAAUGCGAAAGUAGCGGAAAAAAACGACGCCGACUCCUAGUUGGGAGGGAAAAUCAAUUGGGCCAAAGCCCACUAUUUUUAUUUCCACCGUUCUACUUUCACCAAAGGUAAAUAGUUUACACUUUAACACUAGGUCACCUUGAUCCCUUUUUUCUUUUCUUUUUUUUGUAAAAAAAAUUCAUUUAUAAUACCGAUACACCUCGAAAUGGUAAUUAUUGAAGCUAGAAUUUUGUGUUAGAUAGAUCAAGAUCAUUGUAGUAAAAUUUUUGUUUGAUUGGAAUACGUGUUAUAUAGACCCAGAAGCACCAAAAUCGCCGCCAUAAACAGUGAACUCCGACGAAGCCCGAUGACAGCGGAAAACACAAAUCGUCAAAACUCUAUCGAGAUUCGAAAACCAAUUAUACCAGCAGAUAGAACGUGAGGAGGAGGUCGGAUUUCAUACCUCAGGCAGAGUAACUCGCCGACGGAGUCAACGGAAAAUGCAGAAAACACCGCCGGAAAGUCAGAGUUUCUGCCUUCGUCUCUCCCUACACCCCAGCAGCUGAACGAACCUAGAAGGAUGUCGACGAUGACGAGAACAAAAUAGUACCAGUGCGCCGCCAUGAAGUGACCGGAAGACGGAGAUAGACACGGUCGCCGGCGCGGGUCGUCAGUCUCGAGCUCGCUCACUAACCUUAACCUUCUGGAGCGUUCUGAUGUGUGCGAUCAACACUACCCGUUAUAUACUUUAUGUCAAUGGUUGAGAUUAAAUCGUGGUUGAGCCCAACGGUUUAUAUAGCGCACCUCUUUUUAUAAAAUAAAUAAAUUUCUUUUGUUACCAAACUUCCGAAGUACAAAGACCUUCGACCAAACUUCCAUGAAAAAUUCCACCGAGUCCGUAAUAAAGCUUACUUCAUUAUCAAACCUUUAUAAACUGAAGAUUUUACUUUGAAAUUUUACAAAAUUUUUCCGAAGGUCCUUGUUAAUCAACGAAACUCUAAAUCAAAUUUUUAACAUUCAACUUUAACUCUUCAAAUAUUUCCGGUGAUGCACACCACAUACAGACUUGAACUGACCAAUUCAUUGGCAAACCACACACACAAUAGUGUCAUCGGAAGUAGAGUAUGAUAUAACGUCUCAAAACAAAUUUUCAAUAUAUAGAAUAAUCACAGAUGGUCGGGUUUGAAAGAAUCUAGGAGAAACCUCUGUACCUAUGUUCGAAUCUUCCAACGGCGUGAGGUUCAAGUACCAUGGGAUAGUUAGCAAACAUCGAGAAGUAUAAGCACUCAAAGCAGGCCUGUACCUGAGGGGAGGCUUGAGAGGUCGCCGCCUCAAGCACAAUAAAGUCGAGGGCAAAAAAAAAAAAAUUUGUAUAUGUGUACAUAUAUAUAAUUUUUAUAAAAAUUUUAAAUUUUGUCUUCUUUCUCAGUUUCUCGUGUUCAUUAUAUUUUACCAAUAUUAGAAUACUUCUUGAAUUUAUAUUCAAGUUUGCACAUUUACUGUGUUAAUUAUACACAUCUUGUAAUCAGCGAAAUUUCUUUUUAUAACGGUCAUUAUUUUUUCUUUUUUCGUAUAACCGUUAAAGGACAUCAUUUUUAAAAUUCGCCUCAGGUCUUUAAAUCUCAGAUCUGACCCUGACUCAGCACAAAGCCUCUCAUUCUCAAAGUAUGACGUACGCAAAUACGCAUUAAUCACUUGUGUUAGGCAUAUAAAAACACUGUAGCCACGACAAAUCGCUGUAGCUUGCAGAAAUAAUUGUAUAUGAAUAUUGCUUGGGAAACUCGAUUGUCCAGUCGAGAAUUGUUAACCUACUACAUAGUUGUUGAUCUAGCAGUUGAUGAUGAAUACACCUGAUCACUAAAUUGAAUGCCAUAAUCUCGCCAUGCUUGCAAGUUGCAACCUCCAUGACCGGUCAGUCGGCCUGCCACUGUUUCUACAAUGCAAAUUAGAAACAAGGAUUUAGACACUGCCAUAGUCCAAGCACCCGUUAUUAUUGGCUCCAAGAAGCAUCAGUUAUUAUCAUCCAGCCAGGCUUGCGAGAUUAGUGAGAAAAAAAUUCCUCUAGAGAGAGAGGUGUUACCACUUUAGUUAGUCUAGAGUGAGUGUUUCUUGUAAUCUCAUUAUUUAGUAUAAUAGAAGAAAGUACUACGGUUGUCCCGAGGAGAUAGGCACAUUUGCCGAGUCUCAUUAAACAUUGUGUCUUUUUUUGUUGCUAUUUUUGUAAACAAAGAAGCGGUGAAAAAAUUAGAUCCUGGAAUAAAUAAUUAUCCGUCGACCUUAUAAUAGGCGGCCACUUUUUUCUUAAUGGUUGCUUGAUUAUGAGAAGACACAAAAAUAAAUGAUUAUGGGCAUUAUUCUAUAAGAUUAGUGCUUGUUGGUGUCUCCCGCAAAAUAUGAAAAUUUGUUCAGAAGCCUCAAGUACCUGAUUUGAGGAAUCUUCAUCAAGACGUGAGUGAAUUUGUCUUAAAGCCUGGUUCUGGAUCAGAAAGUAAAGGAGAUGAAUUUGAAGAAGCAGCAACGGUAACUUUGGCUAGUGAUCUGGGUAGGGCUACUCGAGCUUCAUCAUAAAGUGCUAUCAAGCUCCAAGAGAUAGGACCCGGCCACGAUGACUCUUUGCAUGAUUAAGGUGGAGAAAUGAGAAUGGAUUGAUUCCCAUGAGUACAUGUCUGAUUUCUUGAGACACAUGCAUAUAUAAUUUCAACAAGUUAACUAAUAACGGAUUAAGAAAAAAAAAAGUUCUUAAUUGCACGCGUACGUAAUUGGGAUAGCAGUAAUAGCACAUAACUGAAUAACCCAAGCCAAGAGUUAUUCAAUGAAAUGAUAAACUUAAGAGACUAGUGGAAACCAACCAAGUCCAUACGGCGAAUCGUUAUUUCCAUCAAUGUAAUUGUCUGCUGAAAAAUAGUCGGUUUUUCCAUCAGCUAAGUUAUAGAUGCCAAUCACUAAAUGACCAGUCGUGUUUGUUGCAUAAUAUAUGCAGUUUCCACCUCCGACUCCAUCAAACGCCUUGUCCUUCAAUACCGCUGACACUGAACUGGUUAGCUUGGACAAUGGAAUCGAGAUAUGUCUGUUCAAGCGUAAGAAACUAUAAUAUGGAUUAACGAACAUUGUCUGGUUUUCAAGAGUAGUCUCUGUCAAUGCAGGUUCGGGGCCAAGGUCUAACUUGAACACCCAAAAUGGUGCAUCUGGAUUCUGUAGACGAAGUUGGGAGUGUUUAUCUGUACCAUUAUGCCGAUUCCAUACAAGCAAAAUUUCACCUUCAGAAGCUAUCAUGAAGUAAGGAUUAGCCUCAAUUCCAUACAGAUUCAUGUGUCCUGCAAUUAAACUUCCAAUUUCAAAUUGCUUGCCUACGUAGAUCUGACUUUUGGCUUUUGAAAAAACCUCUAGGGGAUCAAAAACAACUACAUAUCGAACACCAUAUCCCCCUUUAGCGAAUGCGUACAACUUCCCAUCCUUAUGGAAUUGAAGCUCAUCAAAACGAAUUUCAUAUUUGGGGCCUGAUUGGUAAGUCCAUGAUUUGUCACCUGGCCUGCAAAACGCCAACCUGUAUGUGAGUGGUGUUAGUAUUGUAGCUACAAUGCAGUCAGAAGAUUUCGGGUUUGAGGAGGCUGCAGAUAUCAUGGAUGAUUCAUUGGAGGGUGGCAGCAUAAUCCGAGCACCUGUAAUCGGGUUCGACAAGUAGUUGAUGCUCCAUCCAUAAGGAGUGUAGCUAGUCGACUUUUGCAUUUUAUAAUCUCUCAUGAUCAAAUAUCCAUCAAUACACCCUAGGAAGGAUGUAUAAUACGAAGGAUCCGCAGUUGCUUUUGGAAACGUAAAAUUAUAGACACUGUCUUCACUUGGACUAUAGAGACUACAGAGUACAGUUGACGAGUCCACAGACCGAACCCAUUUCAAGAUCCAUGGAAAAAGGGUGGCACGUUGACACCAUUUUGACGACGCUCUUCUCCAUGAUGUACACACAGCAGAGAACUUUUGUGAAUCAAUAAGUGAUAACCGCUUCAGCAACAUCUCGAUCAAGUCAUCCGGAAGAUGUUCAGACCACCUAUUCGAGACAGAGACUACUCCAUGGCGGGCACUUUCACCAUCUCCUAAUUCCAAUUGACGGCAAAGUUUAUUUUUCAAUGUGUCAUCUUCAAAACUUGUUGCAUUAAUUCUACCAUCAACUCUACUGCAACUGAUACCCAUUGUCGAUCUUCUGAAGUUAUAUUCUUGAUUGAUUGGGCCUGGAAAAAAAAGAAGAAGAUCAACUAGUUAAUCAAGUAUACCUGCACAAGCUGUUCACAGGAUCGAAUAGGGAUAAAAAGAUAAAUUAAAUUAGUGCAACAAGGCUUGCAAGUUGCAAACGCCUCAUAAUCUACCAUAAUCAUACCCAACAUAAGUUUAACAACUAACCAAACUAGCUUCAAAUCGAGCAAGUAGCAUGUAACAAUCAUGUAAUCAAAGAUGGAGAGUACUGAUGUUAAGUACUACUUACAUUCGACUUAUCUUAUAGAAUUGCCUACACCAACAAAACCAGAACAAUUAGUUCUUAUUAGGGUUUGGAGUUUUAGCACUUCUCUAUCUCUAUAAAUAAUGAAGGAGUAUUCCUUAUAUAUAUAUAUGCUACUAGGGUUUCGGCUGUCCUUCGCCACGAUGGGAUUAUAUACAGGAUUUACUUCUUCUUUUUUUCUUUUUUCUUUUUUUUCUUUUUUUUAUAUACAGGAUUUACUUCUUAACUGAGUUGUUCUAUCUUACACAAAGUUGUGUCUUCUUGUACAAUAUGGCUAAAGCGAUGCUGUGACCAAAGGUCCUAAACCAUGAAAUAGACUUACAACUUAUGACAUUAGAUGAAUAUCCAAAUUUACAUUUGGGGUCAAACAAGGAGAGCGCUUUCAAGGCCAUAUAUAUCUAGCCAAGUCCAAGGAUAAAGCUAGCAUGGGUGCUGCGAUAUAUCAUAUAUGUGCAGCAUGCGGUGGCGGAAAUUUGGGAGGCAAGCACCGAGCCAGUUGCAUGUUGAUGGCGACACCCUUGGGAGAGCCCUAGUUUCGGGUAGUUUCUAGGUCAUUGAAUAAACUAGGGUUAGAACAUGGUUCACACUCGGUUUUUCUUGUGUUGCUUUGGUAUCUAGAGUUUGUUACAUGUUAGGUUGCCCAAUGCUCUUUUUCAUUUGGUUAUAUAGGCUCUCUAAUGAUAGCUCAAACUUAUUUUCUAAAAAAAAAACAAAAUGAUAGCUCAAACUUGUCAUGUAUAAACCUUUGUGAUAUUUAGUAUAUUACAACUUCUAUCUUUAAUGGAUUGACAACCACAUCACUUGAAAAAGAAAUGCAUGUUAAGCAUUCUUAUAUGGCCAAAUUUCAAAGAGUUCAAAAUAAUACUGCUCAGAACUGUAGCUUUUAUGAUGUAGAACAAUAGGAGAAGCAAGUUAGUGUUGAUUUCUGGCUACAACAAGCUCAUUAGUACUCUUACAGUAAUUAAACUAGAUCAAUUCUAUACGAUAGGCUCCACACAGCUGAGAUCCGCCACUUCAGCUCUACUUCACUACUGCUAGCAUUCUUAGGCCUAAAUCAAACCCCAGUUAACACUAAAUUCACUCAUCAAUGACAGCAACAAUAUUCUUGUUGCAAACCUCUCCCACAUACUUAGAGCAGUAACAUUGCACCCCAGCAAUGCAUAGGGCACUAACAUCCCCUCCUAUGUCCUUGGUGAUCUGCAUAUAUACCAAGUAUGACAUGUGUUAAUCCAUAGGGCUAGAAAGUAGAAACAAGACGGUCACCAUGAGCAGCAUUUCAAUAAUAUAUACAAGUUUUUUCUCGUACCUCCUCAUUUGCUGUGGAUAUAGCAUGCUCAUCUACAAUCAUUAUACCAUCAAGAAACUCAACGCAAAUGGAGAAGCAUUCUUCACCAAUGGCUUCUACUAGUACUUCUCCAUUUUGUUUCACAAAUAAGACUCUCUUGUCUUUAUAGAAUGACCAUGCCAUUACACUUCUAUUGCUCUCCUCCACACCGAAAACUUUUACCUGCCACAUGAUAUCAGCUUGGUCUGAGGCAUAAAACGUAGAAAUUCAAGUUCAACACUAAGAAAUAACCAUAAGGUAACAAACCUUUGGGAAAACUCUCUUUAUGUACGCAGCAAUUCCAGCAAUAUGGUUGCCAUCACCAAUGGGGACGAAAAUUGCAUGGAGAUUAUCAAUUUUUCCACCUCUAACCAUUUGAGUGAUUAUCUCCACCCCAAUGGUUCCAUAGCCAGUGAUGAUGUCGGUGUGGUCACAUGAAGGUACGUAGGUUGAAUUUUCAGUUGCAGCAAUAGAUUUGGCAUGGUCAUCGGAUUCUUGAAUGCAAGUCCCGCGAGAGACCAAAAUGGCUGCAUACUUUACUAUAUCUUCUAUUAAUUUCCUCCUAACAACCUUUGCAAACAAGAAUUGAACAAGGCUUAUACUCCAUUUCCAAUUCAGAAAAAACCAAAUAUCAUAUGGAUAUGAUCACCAAAUCUAAUUUAUUUUAUUUGCAUUAAGUAGGCAUACAUGCAUGUCUUCCAAGAGUCACUUAGCUAGAAAGUAGAUCAUUGGGGAUCACAACAAGUGAAAGUACCUGUUCUGGCUGUUCUGGCAGUUCUGGCAGUGGAGGAGGAAUAUAACUAUUUGGGGUUGCAACCGUGCAGGAUAAAUGUGCAUGUGAAUCCCCUCCUCUCCUUUUCAAUCAGUGCAUUUGCCAUGAAGUUAUAAGUCCCUCUCCAUUUGUAGGAUGAACCCUGCAUACAUCACAACAUUAGGAACCUAAAACAACUAUGAAUGAAAGCAACAUUAGGAACAGGAGAUAUACUAUAAGUAUAUUUGUACUCACAAGUUCUCUAUUGAGUAAUAUCUCUACUUCUUCUGGGCUUGAACUGCACGCACGAGAAAAUGCAGGGGCUGGUACUAGGUCCCGCCUUUGAACAAACUCACAUUCAUAGAUUCUUGACGAGAGUAUGGCACUUAGAAACUUUAGGGAAGUUUCUGCAUCUGUGUGUUCAAGGCAAUGCUUUUUCAAUAUUGGGUUAGCUUCAACAAGAAUACCAUUCCCAAAUACUAGCCCUGGAACUAUCAUUGUCUCGACCUCCAUCAAUGAUUUGGUCUUCUUAUCCUUCCAGAUGCAAACCGCACAAAGCCUAAAACACAACUGAAGCAUCAGUAUACAUGCACAUCAAACUAAACAAUAUAAAAGAAAAGAUCAAAAGGAACAUGUAACAGAGAGAGAGGGCGAGGGAGAGGGAAGUUCAUAAAAACCCACCUGUGUCCACAUAAGUAAGAUGUAGCACUACCAACAAUUGCAGUCCCUAAAGGAAGCCACACUAAGGCAAACCUCUUCCCAGCAGUGGCUGAGAAAUGGAAGUCUCCAUAUCCAAUCGUAUAUGCAGAAAUUACAGAAAAAUAGGUUGCAUUAACCAGAUGGGUUGCAUUGACUCCAUUGUGAUUCGUUGCAUUUGCUCCAUUGUGAUUCGUUGCAUUAACUCCAUUGUGAUUCAUCUUCGUUGUGUCGUCCCAGAUCCAUAUCCCUAAAAAUCCAGUGCCAACGACAAACACUAUCCAACCUAUUGCGAAGAAGAAUUUCAACUUCUGUUUUGUCUUGUCACUAGUGGUCUUGAUAGACUUGAAAAACCACUUCUCCAACUUAUCCCCUACCGCAUUAACCAAAUCUCCAAGUGGAUUACCAAAGACGGCACUCAUUACAGUACCCAGUAAAACAAAAGCAACCACUAAAUACUUGGCUACAUUUGUAUUAGGAGUCACAUUGCCAUACCCAAUGGUUGUCACGGUGACAAUGACAAACAAUAAGGAGUCGAGGAAACUCGGAGGGGGCUCAAAGGAAAAUGUGAUCAGAUACCCAAAAAUUAGGUAGGCAAGAUAUAGGCUUGUACAGAGGGCAAUACAAUAGAACCUGCAUGUAAACAGUUUCCUGACAUAUAUAGAAUGAAAACAAAAUAUGAGAUAAAAGUAUAGUGUGAGUUCAUGAAUUUUGCACAAUAUUGAGCUAUAUCUAUAGUGAUGCAGGGGAGACCUUUAGAACAAUGUUCUCUUACUGGAUUCUAGGAAAUUCAAUUUAGCCGAGAAAUAUGGUACUUUAGAGCCAUUAAGGAUUUUAUGAAACCAACCAUGCACAGAGAAUCAAGUAAGUAGGAAGAAUUAUAGUAUUCUAGCAUUGAGCUACAGGGUCCUAGGUAUCCCACACAGUGGCCUUAGAAACAUAACCUUAUCAGGCAAUUCAUGCAAAUCAAAAACCAUUUCACCAAGCAACUUGAAAAUAGAAAAAUCUCUGAACAAAAAGACUUAUGUUUAUGAGGCCGGUUUCACAUGCUGAAUGCAAUCAAUGCAAAAUCGAAACAACAAAACUGCAAUGUGCAGUAACUUCUAGACCUCAAUAAAUUGUAAUGAGUUAAGGAUCACUGUGCAGAGAUUAUGUAGAGCUGUGUAGAAUAGGUGUUUGCUUAAUAAAAUGAAACUGCAGUCUGAUAGCUUACAUGGUUGUCAAAGGGAACAUAUAACAGCAAAAGCCUGCGACAAAGUUCAACAGCUGUGGAAAAUUGACCACCAAGUACACCUGCAAGUUAUAUAUAGGAAUAAGAACAUGGCUAAUGAUAAAGUUUGAUAUAUGCAUGCAGUAUGCACUAUUUUACGCUAUGUUGAUUAUGAUGCAGGACAAGUAGGGGACGACAUUUAUUGAGAACUAAUUCUCGAUUGUAUAUCAAGUUCCAAGUCAUUAGGAAGAAUGAAAAAAAAGAGAGAACAAACAUACAUCAGAAAACUUUGAGGAAAUCAACUUAACACGUGAAGUACCAUAGCGCAUUGAAGUUAUUGAUGCAAAAGUAGAGGAAAUCAACCCGAAAGAGGGUCUUGGAAAAGCAGAUUCCAACAGCUUUAGAUGAAGGUGAAACAGACUCGAAGGAAGUUGAAAUAGACAUAAAGGAGCGAGCAGGAGGAGACAAAAGGGUGUAGAACCAUCUUAAUUGAUGAAAAGGUCCUGGACCUUAACAACAUCCGUGUACAAGAGCAAGAGAAUUUUAACUCUAAUGAGAACUUGUACAGUCAGAUUCCAACAACAGUAGGCACUUGAACAAGGAGCACAUAAAAUGCACUUAAACUGCUGCUGAUAACAAUGGACAUCUUAAGAGAUUCAAGAUAGCAAACAUCUUAGGAUGAGACUGCAAGCAGAGGAAAAAACCCGAAGAAGCAGAACCAAAAAUCGAUCACAUCUAUAGCAGAACAACGUACUGGUGGCUAUAAUGGACACCAGUUGAGGAAGCAGAACCAGAUAUCGACAAUCGCGAAAUUGAAAUGAUAGAAUGCUAUAAACAGUAUCAUGAAUACAUAAUAUACAGAGUUUGAUACCUCCUGCUGUUACAGAUAACCUAGAUAUGCACAAUCAUCAACUCUUACUAUGCAACCGCACCCAAUCUCAUACAUAUUGUCUAUAUUUUGCCUAAUUUCACUGUUACAGGUACCAAAGCUCGAUCACAAGUCGAUAUUUCAGUGAUAGUGUAAAGAAAUUGAUCAAGGUCAACACUAGAAUCAUAAUCAAUUGACUAAAGAAAUUGCGGACUGAAGAUCCGAAGCUUACCGUGAUAGUGUUGUGAUCGGGGACUCAGGUGAAGGUAAGGCGAUUCCGAUCAGCUUGAAGCUUUCUCCGAUUGUUCAUCUAGGUUAGCGAAGAAAGAGAAACAGAUCUGGAUCAGUAUCGCAAAAAUUGAAAUUGAAUUCGUCCAUACAAAUCAGAACUUACAGCGGCUACUUACCGGAUUCAUCCUCCAUUGUUGAUCGAGCUUCGAUUUCUCCGCCUCGCUCUUCGUCGUCUAAGUCCUUCUACUCUUUCUCUCUUCGCUUCUCAGUCUUCUCUCUCUUCGCGUCGCUUCGCUUCUCUUCUCUUUUCUUCUCUUUCCGAUAUAUGUGGAUUUCGAAAAUGAGAAAAUAGCGGAAAACGACGCCGGCUCCUAGUCUUGGGAGGGAAAAUCAAUAGCGGGCCGGUGGAUCACCUCUUUUCUUUCUUGCAAUUUAGGCGAAAGCCCACUUCUUUUUAUCAUCCACCUUUCCACUUUCAACCAAAAGAUAAAUAGUUUACUCAUUAACACUAGGUCAGCUUGACCUCUGUUUUUUUUGUUUUGGUAUUUUGUUCGGGGGCAUAAAACAACCCCAAAGUAAAUACACCUCAAAAUAGUGAGAAGACGGUGCGAGAGAGAGAGACACUGAAAAUGUCUUGAAUAGAAAAAGACUUUGUGUAGUACCAAGCUUUAUCAUUUAGCCCUUCGGCCCUGACCCUCAUCAAUGACGAUGGUGACGAGACUAAUAAAAUAGUACCGGUGCGCCGCCAUGAAGUGAUCGGACGAAGAUAGGUUUGGUCGUCAGCGCGGGUCUUCAGUCUCGAGCUCACUAAGCUUCUUGAGCGUUCUGAUACGUACGAUAUACAUUACCUUUUAUAUACUUGAACAUAACAGUUGAGAUUAAAUCGUGGUUGAAACCAACGCUUAUGUCGCAUCUCUUUUUGUUAAAUAAAUUUCCUUAUUAGCAAACUUCCUAAAUACCAAAGAAAUGCCUUCGACUUUCGAAAAGCUUUCAUGAAAAUUACCACCGACUCUAUCAUAAUUCAUAAACUCAUAAAACAUAUACUUCAUUAUCAGACCAUAAACUAAAGAUUUCACAUCUAAUUUUUCUGAAGGUGCUUAACAAUCAUCGAAACCCCAAAUCAAAUCUCUAACCAUUCAACUUUUGUUCUUCAAAUAUUUCCGAUGCAUACAUAACUAAUUGACUUGAAUAGACCAAUAAUUCAUAGGCAAACUGUGAGACCCCGUAAAGUUAUGACUUUAUGAAAUUGAAGUCUUGAUAAUUCCUAGUAAACGAUUUCUAUAGUAGACGGACAUUGCUCGAUUUAGUUGAAUUCGAGAGGUUUCAUUUUUGAAUUGGGCCUAUAGUGUAGGCUUGGAAUAACCCGAUUGGGUCACAUGUUUGGGCUUAAGGAGGGCAACAUUGUAAUUUUAUAUAUAUGAGCAACAAAUUAAUAAGCUUUGAUCAGAAUGACCAGAAGCUUCUCCCGUUUUCUCUCCCUCUCUUACGAACACUCUUUCUUUCUGUCUGUCUCUCUGUUCAUGUUCAAGAAGACAAGGCUGCUAAAUAUUCAUGGUGGGAUGUUAAUCUUCAGUUCAAGGAUACAACAGAGAUGGAGUUUGGGUCGUUUAGCUAUGUACCGUCGACACCGAUUUGAGUUGUAGAAAGCCACAGGCAUGAACGUUAUUCUUCUUCUCUUAGCAUAUUGAGGUAAAGUCCUAAGAACCCAUAGAUUUGGCAUUUCUGAUUUUGAUAGAUUGGGUUCUAAUUAUUCUGUUAAUUGGAAUGCCAGUGACACGGAAUUUCGAGUGGAAUUUGAGUUCCAAGGAAAGAAGCAUGAAGUCCAUGGAGAGUUACUGAAUUUGAAAAGGGAGAAGUGAUCGAUGAAUACAAUCAAUACUCCUGAUUAGUGAAUCCCAUAAUCUCGGCAUGCUUGCAACCUCCAUGCCCGGCCAGUCGGCCUGCCACUGUUUCUACAAUGCAAAUUAGAAACAUGGAUUUAGACACUGCCAUAGUCCAAGCACCCGUUAUUGGCUUCAAGAAGCAUCAGUUAUGAUCAUCCAGCCAGGCAGCCAUCACCAGGUCCAGAGCAACAGUACCUUGAUAUUCAUUGUCUUUAAUCAGAUAUACCUUUCAAGAAUUUGGCAUGGAUUCAGACAAAAAGAAUUUGGCAUGGAUCGAAACAACAUGCACCCAAAAAAAAAAAAAAAAAAACUGUAAAUGAGGGGGCAGAUCUUUGUGGAUGUAGAUAAUGCAUGAAGAAGGUUUACGUUAGUUUACGACUGCUUUUGAAGACAUUGAAAGGAACACGCCAACGAAUACGCCCUCAGAAAUUUUACCUCCACACAACUGCAAACAGCAUCCAAUCAGAACUGCAGCAUUGAGAAUAAAAAAAACAUUGUAUAAUCCAGUCUACAUUAGCGAAAGCUAUGGCUUCACAAUCAAUGUCGAUUAUAGUUAUCUUAAGCACACCCGUCCAAUAAACGAACAUAGAAACUAAAUACCAAAGAGUGCUAAAGAUAUAACCAGAAAUACUGAAUGUCAAGAUGCAAGAGCAGAAUAGAGGCAUAUACCAGUCAAUUUCAUGUGCUAUCAUUCUACGACUAUCAGCAACUUCAGUAAAUUACAAAUGAACGAUAGGAUACAGCAUAGAAAGACUCAGAAGGUAGACAUGCAAUCAGAAUAGAGACCUAAAGUAGUCCAAUUUAAUGUGGAAGUUCCACUACUGCCAGUAACUUCAAUUAAGGCCUCUAUGUGAUUAAGGGUGUCUUGGGAAAGUGUAAGUCUAGCACAAAUACUGCACCUCUCACCCCUCCAACACAGAAGAAUAGCUACUGGUACUCCAUCCUAUUAGUUUUAAGGACUCAGAUGCUACAUCCUAGUACGAUAUUUUGAAAUUGUCACUCAGUGUAAACCCAAACACAGGCAAAGUAGCUGGAGGAAUAAAGCACCAAGAAGAAAUAAUCUACAACACUAUUAUAAAAGGACAUUAACAAAGAGCCAAACUAAACUAAAGUGGAAAAACAUAAACAGUAUAAUUUUGCAUAGGGUGGUGCAAUUAACACACCCUUUUUUGCUAUUAACACACCCCUUAUAUAAAGGGCAUCUUAUCAUUCUCUACUUAUUCAUUGCCAUGUUACUAGUACCUGCUAGAAUAUGGCAUGGGAUACUGGUUAUAAAGGGCAUCUUAUCAUUCUCUACUUAUUCAUUUCCAUGAUACCAUCCCAUGCCAUAAUCUAGCAGGUACUUUUAUAAUUUUUGUGGCAACAUCUAUUCCUGUAAUUUUGCAAUGCCUAAAACACUAGGUGUAGGAAGGUUGCACAUUGAAAUAAUCAUAAGUAAGCAAAAACUUCGGUAGAGAGAGAGAGAGAGAGAGAGAGAGAGAGAGAGAGAGGAUCUAACUUUGUUGUGGAAAACUCUAAGCCCAAAGCAAAAAGAAGAAAGAUCACACCAAACUGAGCUACAGUUUCAACCUGCAUCCAUAUACCACAGUGAAAAUAUGAAUAAGACACAUAAAGAUAACCUAAAUACGAGGGAUCAGUUAACGAUCUAAAUUUUAGAAAGGAGAACAAAUUCUAUCUCUGCGUACAGAAUAGUCCUGGUUGUGUUUCUUACAUGAGGCAUGCUCAAUAUAGCUACCAAGAACAUUUUAUUGCAUACUCCAAGACAACAGACUUAAGAGUAUCUGAGCGACUGAAAAAGUGCUAGAAUCAUCUGAAUGAGUACUAGAAAUGUUUCUUUCUUUCUUUCAAUAAUGUAUAUGAAAAAUGACUGUUCAUGCAUCGUUCUUUCCAAAAUUAUCAGUCACUUCUACACAUGUGACGAGAGCAAAUGACCAAGACCUUUAUGCUUACAAUAUCAUAACAUAUAAACCAUUGCAUAAGAUAAUAAAGCAAAGUGAACAUACUUGAACCAUUUCACUAACAAAGUGAACCCUCCAGGUCCAAUAACAGAUUUGGCUAGCAAAUACCCUGAUAUGACCUGCAAAGUUAUAAAUCAAAGUAACACAAUAAGAAACAUUAAGUAUAGUCAAAUUUACAAGAUGCUCUAUGAUAAGUUCAUAAAUGUAUGACUGUUGAUGUGUAUGUACAGACCAGUUGUCCAGCACAAGCAAAAGCAAUAUCACCACAGGUUGCAGAGACAUUAACGACGACCAGAUCUGAUAUCAGUCUACAAUCCAACAAGCAGAAGUGAUCAGAUCACCAUUUCUAAUGAAUGACCAAAUUCGGGCAACUAUAUUGGUUUCAAGACAUAAUCUGAUCAUGGUACACAUUUCCAAAUUCAUUUAGCACUCCGCGAAAAGAUGAGGAAAUGAGAAAAACAGAAACUGAAAGGGAUAGAUACAGAAUUUCUAGUUAACUACACAAGUUACAAAACAGAAGAGACACAAAUCAGACUUCUUGCUCACUUAUAUCUCUCAACUUAACUUUUCCACGUUCAGCCUUUCCAUUUUUUAGAUAAGCAAAAUCAACGUGGAAAAGUUGAAUUUACAAUUCACACACUUAUUGCUCACUGAAUAAGUUGAGGGAUGAAGAGGUAGUCGAAUUUGGUUCUUUACCUUCGAGCAAUCAGUGAGCAGAUUGGCAUAAGAAUUUCUAGUGUCCAUUCUGCUCAAUAGAUUGGGAAUGAGGGGCGUGCGAUAAGGCGGCGCCGUCGGUUUCGGAGAAGGCGUUGAUGAAGGGGAAAGAGGAGUCGACGGCGAAGAGGUACCCCCUACAUCGUCCAUGGCUGUGGAUAUGGUACCCCUACAUACUUGCCUGCAACAAUUUCUAAUCGAAUUGAAUCCUAUUAUAAACCAUGAUUUACAAUCCCGUGACAAGUCAAUUGUAAAGCAUUAGAAAUUUGUGAAACUAAACAUAAACCACACAGACAAAACUUGAUUAAAAUUCAAAGAUACUAAUAUUCCAUGGAUCCGAAACAGAGUACAUACACAUAAACCUCCUCAUCACCCGAACAAAUCCCCAACCACAAAAUACGAGUAAAUCAUGACAUUACGGACGGUCCUGGAUAAACACUGUACUGUAAACAACAUCCAAACAAAUACAAAAACACUCCCGGAAUUGGUUUUGAAAGAGAGGUCUCCAAAUCCCACAGACAACAAUAAUGACUCAACGAAGGCCAGACCCUCCAGAAAAUGCACAACAAUUGCACCAACAACUACACAAGCCAUCAGCAUCAUGACUGCCGUGCACAUUCGGACUCCUGCCUCCAAAUUCUCAUCCAAACUUGGAUUAUGAAGAUGGGUCUUUUUGGAAUAGCGUCCGUGAUAGAUAACCAAAACAACUGUCAAAUAUACGCCGAUCCACAUCCUCAAUAAUCGCCGGCGAUGCGGCUGCACUUUGUUUUGGUCGUCAGGUUGCGCGGCUGCGUGUUGUCAGAGCUUUUCUCUCUCUAUUUGUACUAGGUUUUUCUGUUUCUUUUUCUUUUCGAGUUGGAAAUUGACUGUACUUGUUUAAAGUCCAAACUACUUGCGGCAGAUAUGUUCGGCUUCUUAUCCUUGUUUUUUACUGUUUUAUUUUUACUAGCUUUCUUUGCACACGCAGGGCCGCGUGCGUUUGGUUUUGUUAUCGUUCAUUAUCGUGUGUCAUGAUUGAAAUCAUGACUGCGCCAUGCUCCUUUCUUUCAGGAAUUGGAUAAUUCGUUUGGAAAUUUGCACUCAUUAAACAAUAUUUCUACUCUCUCCCUUCUCUUAAAAGGACUGCCCUGGUGAAAAUGCUAAAAUCAGAUUCAAAAGGCUAAAAUCUAAACUUCACGUCAAACAAUACAAAAGAAUCACAAUUUCAUAUUAGGCUCUUCCUCACAAAAUAAGAAAAGAAAAUAAUUUGCCUAACCACAAUAUGAGUCCAGGCCAUGAAAAGCCCAAAUGUAAGCUUAAUAUGAAAUUGUAUCUAGCAAACUCAAGACCUAAAAAGAACUUGAGGGUAUUGAGAUGAACACAUCUUCAAGUCAUUCUCAUCUCUGUUAAUCUGCAAUGAAAACAAAAUAGUGAGAAACUCUUUAAAUCUCAUUCCUUUCAAAGUGGUAUCUACCACAACAUAAGGAGAUAAAUGGUCUAUUUUAUUUGAAACACAACUUGGAACUCGGCAUCAAUGGUUCUGUACUUAAAUGCAGUAACAAUGGCAUAAUUAGCUCCAUGAUCCCCCACCCCAAAAUCCAAUUUCCUAAAGCACCUCCCUCACAAAAUUCCAAUGAAGUCUAUUAGAGCAUCUCCAGCAGCUUCCCCAAAAUUUCUCUAAAAUAGGGAAGCAAAAGCUAAAAUCUCUAAAAAAAUUAUGCUUAAAAUCCAACAGCUUCUCCAUUUUAGAGAUUUCAGCAUUUAAUACAACAAAAAAAUAUACUAUAUCAUUAUUGAUUAUAACAAAAAACAUUAUAUAUUUCAUUGUAACAAUAAAAUACUCAAUCAAAUAUUCUAUUGUUGUCUUGAAUUCGUUAGAGCAUGUGAAGAAUUUAAUUUUGGGGAAUGAAGGCUUUGCUGCAAAUUUGGGGAAUGAAGGCUUCUCUUUCUUCUAUAUCCCCAUUUUGGGGAAUGAGAUGGGGAAACUGUUGGACCUAAAAACAGCUCUAUAUUCCCCAAAAUUGAGAAGCUGUUAGAGAUGCUCUUAUAAGCUUUAGCAAGAUCAACUUCCUAAGCAAAGAAAAUAAAAAUUGCAACAAAAAAGUAAAUGAUAAAAGGAUUCUCAGCAGUGUACUAAGUACCCAAAAAUUGCAACCUGUAAGUUUGAAACUUGAAUAAACUCUUAAUCAACAGUCACAUAACAAUGAUAAUACACAACAAAAAUCACUAAACCACAACCCCUAAAUUCGCUUGCAUAAGCAUACCUUUUUCUGUGUUUAUGCUUUGAAGAACGACCACCAAUUUGCACCAAUUUGCUUGUUUACAGUGUCAUGAUAUGGUAGCAUAAAGAAACUGCUAUUGAACGUAAAUCCGCUCAGCGAACAAUACCUAACAAUGAUAAUCCAAUUCCAAUGAGUAACAUGAAAAACCAAAAAUAAUAGAAAUAGGAUUCCUAAAUCUAGGAUUCCUAAAUCAAUGCAAAACAAAUCUGAAAAUUUCCUAAACCAGCAAUUUCCUUUCCACCAAGAUACACCUUUGCAAUGACCUAUGUUGAAGGUAAAAAAACAAAGAUGCAAAAGUUACAGAUCAAAUAGUUUCAGCGUAAACACAGACAUAUGAACCAAGCAAUUGGGAUCCUAUAGCAGCAAAUACCGACCCCAAUCGGUUAUUUGCAGGGCAACGUGAAUACCUGAUUUCUGAUAUGCUCCUCUUUGCCCUCAUGUGGUUGAAGUUGAACUGCAAAUCAAGAGGUCAGAGUACUGAUUUGAUAUGCUCCUCUUUUUGGGGUUGAAGUUGAACUACAAAUCGAGAGAGGGGUGAGCAUUGAUAUAGAGCCAUAUGCCCAUAUGUAAGCCGAACCGCUCCCACAUUGUUCCGGCUAAAAACAAAAACACAACUGUUCAUACACAAAAAGUUAGUAUGGACACGUUGAGAUUGUAAGCCAAUCACUUGAGCAAUGAAAAGAAUUAAUAGCUCCAUUUACCAAAACAUAGAAACAUUCAUUGUCACUAUUGUUCAAUCAAACAAUCAAUAAAGUUCAUUGACUUAGAAAGAGGCAUAAAUUGAUGACAAUAGGAAGCCUGUUAUAUAUCUACUACCACAGAUUAGAAAGAAAAGAACGACAAAAGUAAUACAGCAUUACAGAAAAGUAUAUCAUUUACAUCUAAGACAGUUGAAAAGCUAAUUCCUAAACAGGAGCGUAUAUAGAACAGAUGAAAAAUGAACAACAAAAAGAAUCAAGGAUUUACCACUAGUGAGCCUUUGGUACUUUGACUGAUAUCGAUGAAAAACAAAACAAAAACAAAACUAUCAAAACACUUGCUUCCCACCCAAAUUGCAUACACAUUGAUUCUUUGAAGACAAAAAAAAAACAGAGGAGACCCAAACUCAUCUAAUUGAACACAAAACCUCACCCAAAUUGUUUUGACGCUCCCUUUCUGGGUUCACUUUUGUUUUGCUUCUCCCUUUCUGGGUUCACUUUCUGCUUCGUGCAUUUAACUUUUUUCGCCUUUAACAUUAGUUAGCUAUUUACUUAUUAACGCAUGCAGGACUGUCUCAACUAUUUUUCUUUGUAACAUUCAUAGACAAUCAAACAGUUUUCAGCAUAAUACAAAUGAAUUGAACUCUCAAACUCCUAAACUCUUAAAAACAAAAACAAAAAAGAAGUCCUUUGCUUCUCAGAUUUCACGCACUACCAAAAUCAUGUCCUUCAUAUCACUUGAAUUUUCAAUCAGCCUCCAUAUGCUAUAGUUGUAGCAACAUGCAUGCUACAGCUUGCCAUUUAUGUGAAAUGACUUUCUAUGUAACAGUUAACACUUAACAUAAUCAUUUAUUAUUUUAUUUACUGUAAAAAAAACACUAUGAACUUACAAUAUCGGUAACCAAGCAUGAAAUGACAUACUUAAUAAGGAAAGAAAUUACACACAGCUCUAAUCACUACAUUAAGGGGUCAGUUUGCAUACGUUUCAGAUUGCAUCACAAUGGAAAACCAAUUUUAAUAGCAUGAGCAGCAUUAAGGACGACAAAAAAACAACAAAACAACAAAAGAAAAAGAAGUCAGGCAUACGUUGAUUGACCUGAACUUAGCCAUACACAAACCAGUUCUUAUUACAUCAGUUCUAGAGUACGAAACAGAAGAAAGAUAAGCCAAAGAAGCCAAAAAAGAAAGAAAAGAAAGGAAGCAGGGCACCAAGUUUAUAUCAGUUUAUGCUUCACUUGUGAAAAAAAAAAUUGUAAGUUACAUCCAAAUCUCUUUACAAUAAACACAUUACACGCAAAAAACUUGUAACAAAACUAAAAAGCUCAAAAUGAAUGAAUCUGAGAAGAAGAAAAAAAAAAAAAGGAUAAGAAACCAUUUUCUCAUAGGCCCUUAUCUUCUUGGCUCUUGCACUUAGUAGUAGCUCCCCUAAACUAAGCUUCAUAGUUAACUCAACCUGAACUUGAUUAAUGAGCAAUUAAAGCUUAUAAACUCUGCCAUAGCAGAAUUGAAAUCUUACAAAGAGAAGCUAAUUUGAAGGCUUGUUUACUUAAAAAAUUGACACAUAUGGAGCACAAAGGUUCAAAUUUUACUGAUGGGGUCUGCGAAAAGCAAUCAAAUUUUAGCAAAUGCAAACUAAAUCAGGGGAGCGAUUCUGAGAUCAAAAGAUAUAACCAAUUAACCAUCUCAGAAAGAAAUAGGUAAAACAAAUUGGUACUGCCUUUUAAACUUGCAGACCAUACCUGAACAGAGUACCUAACUUUAAAUAGUAACAACAAAUGAAUCCGUAUAGAGAUGGGUCUGAAAUUUAAAGAAAUGGAAAGCUAAGUUACCUGCAAUGAAAGAAAUUGGAACUUCUGAGAGUUUCAAACAAAGAAAAAGAAGAACCAAUUAAGAACAACAGGCAUACAAACAACAAUUUGAAAAUUUUCUUACCAGUCUUUCAUAUGAUUGAUAUCCCCGCAUUCGUAGUCCUAAUCAACAAUUAUUCUGGGUUCAUUUGCAAAUCGCCAACAACUGAAAUUAAACAUUGAAAAUCAAUAAUUUCCGUCGAUUUAUACAUUCCAAGCCAAACCCCAUAUUUUUGAUUCCACCCCAUGCAACUAGUAUCGCAUUCAUCCCCAAAUUUCAACAGUUUCCCUUACAAUCCCAAAUACAAUCAUCGGAACCCCACUAAAAACCCAUGACCCAAUUUGACAAAUCUGAUUACCACAAUCAAAAUCACUUACGUAAAACCGAUGGCGCGAAUCCAAAUUAUUAGUUCUGACUUUUUGGAUUUGAUUUUGCUAUGCUCUUCUUUGCUUCUUUUAUUUCCUUUUUCGCACGCAAUGCGGAUGGAAACAGGGGAUAAGAUGUAUCCCCACGUCCUUCUUGCAGUUAUCGUCAAUGGGAACUGUGGAGAAUACUGGAGAUCGUGUCUUGGCAGUUCGCAACUGCAACCUUCUUUUUCUUUUUCUUUUUCUUUUCCGAUUUCUCCCGCGGAAUCCUCUCUUAUUUCAAAAUGACUAUACUAUCCAUACACAAUAUGCAAAUAUAGGUGAAGAAUAAUAAACUUGUGGUUUUUUCGGAACAUAAAAAAUUUAACCAUUCUCACAUCUCUUCUGGCUUUAUUAAUAGAGAUUUAUUUAUUUAUUAAAAUAAAAAUACCUGAAAAGAAAAAUAUAUAGGGUAACAAAAAGGAAUGUGUUAAUAGCGUACAAAUUCUUAUUUUAUAUUUCAAUGAACAAAAUUGAAUUUUAAUUCGUUGUUGAAGUUCAAUUUACAAGAUAAAAAGAGUUGGGCAGCAAGUGAAUAUUAACACUGUUGUUUAGCACUGAAAAAAAAAAAAUACCGCGUUGCUCGCUUUCUUAAUGUUUGAGUGGAGGUCAACAAGGGUGUUUGAAAACUGCUCCAACAUGUUGGUCAUAAAUUUGUAGGAGUUAAGACUGGAUGAUGGACAUGAAACAUCCAUGUUAAGCGUUCGACCAACAUUAUCAUAUUGAAUAGUUUAAUAUUUAAAAUUUAAAAAUUAACAACAUUUACAAAACAUUUUAAGAUGGUGCUUUAAUGCUUGUUAUGUGAGACUGCAUGGGAUUAGAAAGUGUAACAAGAACAAGUUUGUGUUUAGCAAUAACAGAGUUUAGGACUAAUAAGCUUAAGUAGUCCCAAAAACACAGUCAACACCUUCUACCAUAGCAACCCUAAAUUCAUGGGUUUAUGGAAGACGUUGUUGUAGACACUGAAAACUCUCGUUGUUUUCUUCUAUGCAUGCAUGCCUCAUCAAUCACUCUCUUCAAUCUCUCAUUAUCUUUUUGUCAGUAAUAGGGGAUUCUGGUUCUUUAAUCAUUCAUUUCUCUCUAUAUCUUUGUCUCUCUCCGAUUCAUUCUAGAUCGGUCACCAACGGAUCCUGAUUUCCUGGACGUUAAAUCGUAAAUCUCUUUUUAAAAUGUUGUUCAUUGAUAUGGAUAUAAAGUUCCUCAAUGUAAUCAUUUUCUUUUGAAAUGUUGCCUAUUGGUUCUCUUUCUGAUUUUCUAUUGAAAUGCUGCAUAUUAUGCUCUUUAGUCCCCCACUAGAACCAAACAUAAGUUUAGUGUUUUAAGGUCGGGAGAGCAAUCCAUUAAAACACACAUGCUUUAAGGAACUAUUAGAGGCUUAGAGCAACUCCAUCUGAAUAUGCAUUUUAGACACCUCAGCCCAACGACUCUAAUUUGGCAUUGUCAACAACCUCCAACCAAAUAGGCAAUGUCAAAUUUGACAAGUGUAAUUGGCAUUGAGGGAAGGCAAUGUUAAAUUUGACAUUGAUGAAAGACAAUAUCAUAUUUUUUUCACUCUCUUUAUGCUUCUCCAAGUAGUACGCACACCAUAUUUACUCUUUUAAAUGAUUGUUUAAUGUACGGUAUAUAUACAAAUUUGGAGAUGAGCUUAGCCAAAUAACCAAAUGUUAUAUUUGUCUUGUCACAUGUUAAAUUUUGUAUUUGACAAUAAAUUUGAUAUCUCCAUUAGAGAUACUCUUAAAGACAAUAUGUAUAUGUUGAUCUUAAAAACAAAGGGACUCAACCUAUCGUUCUCUCCCUAGCCGGCCGCUAGGGUUUCGAGCCUGACCAAACUUUCUCCAUUGUUUUUCAAUGGAGACCAAAGCAGGCUUCACCCUGCUAAUCCUCUUCGUGUUUGCUAUUCUCUUGGAUGGCUAUGGUAGAGUUUUUCUCUAUUCGAAUCUGGUCUCUAGAGAUCUCUUUGGUGGAUCAGUGGUGAUUUUCGACUAUAGAGAUGGAGAUAGCUGCCACGGCGACGGCGACGACAUUAAGAGCUCGUUCGGGUAAAUGGUCUUUCCUCUCACUCUGAUUGUAUUGACGAUAGCGGUAUGAGAGUCUUUCCUUUCCAUUCUUUGGCUGUGAUGGGGAUCCUCCCUCAUCUCUUCCGUCGAAUCUAAGGUGGUGACCACGGGUUGGCUCGCUAGUUCUCAUCUAAUACAAGCUUUGACCUCUCUCCCUUCGCUUAUGGUGGUUGUGAUGGCAUUGAUAGUGGUGGUGAAAUAGUUGAGAUCAAUCGGAUCUUGAAUCAAUCUGGCCUGGACAAGGAAAACUCCGGUUUUGGUUAUGACGGCGACGCUCGGCUCUGAUGGUGAUGACAUCGGCAGAAAGGUAGUGGCGGCUAGGGCAACAUUAUUUGUUUCUCUUGGAAUUGGGCUCGAAUGGGCCUGGGAUGGAUCAACUAAGGUUUCCCUCGUUUGGGCCUUGGCUAAUAAAGUUGGGCUUGAGCCCCUAGUUUAAAUUUAGUUUGGUCCAGGUAGACUAGUGCAUUCGUAGAGUUUGAUAGUUUUAUGCGGAUACUAAUUUAUUUGUAAAAUCGUGCUUAAUUGUUACAAGGUAGGUGUACUUAGGAUUUCAUAGCUUAUAUGCUUUAGAUAGUAUAAAACUUGCAAUUCUGCAAGAUGAUGCUUUCUGACAACUCCACAGGGGUGUGUUGUCUUUGUAUUGCUUGCUCUGAUUUAAAUGAAAUGACCUAUUGAUCAAAAAAUACAAUAUGUAUACAGUAUGUCGUACUUUUCUUCUAAGUGUGUUUUCGAUGCGGGUAUUUUUAGUGUUUAGUAGUUUAAGAUAAUUUAAUAAAAAUUAUAAAAAACAAUGCCUCUUUUUUUUGAUUUACUAACAGUAAAUAUUUCCCAAAAAAGUGAAAUUCACCUCGAGAGCAAUUUACCGUUUGAACUUCCGCCGCGUCAAAUAAAAACUGUUAGACGGGCCAACCUAUCAUCUUCUUCUUCUUCUUUUUCUUCUUCUUCCGGAAUCUUUGAGCUUCUCUCUCAUCUUCUGCUUCUCCAAUGGCGUCGUCCAGCUCCGGAAGUUCAAUUGCGGCUCCAGGUACUUCCAAUCUCCAAUAAAAAUUUUACGUUUCUCUCUUUUCCUCACAUCGCCACACUCUCUCUGAUCUCGGAAACUUUGACCGGUUGGUGCCACAGAGGCCGUUCAAGUUCUCGUUUCUCUCCUCGCCGACGAAUCCCCCAAUGUCAGAGAAGCCUCCAUCGCCUCCCUCAAAGACAUUGCCUCCCUGUAAAUCUCUCUCUCUCUCUCUCUCUCUCUCUAUAUAUAUAUAUAUCUAUAUAUGCAAGUGACGUAGACCAUUACGUAAUAGAUUGAAUUGCGAUUUGCAGGAGUCCGGUGUUAGUCCUCGAUUGCUGCUCGGCCGUUUCGAGAGGAGGACGGAGGGUAAGCUAGUUUUCUUGGCAUUGAAGUUAGGAUUUUGCUAGGGUCUAGUUUUGCAAUGUGGAGUGUGAUCACUGAAGAGGCUUUUUCACUGCAGCGGUUUGGUAAUAUGGCUGGGGUUUUCCAAGUAAUGUCGUAUGGAGUCGGAGCUUUGGACAACAAGGAUGUGGAUCCUCCUUUCAUGACCAAGCUUGCCAAGAUUGCCACCGCGGAGAUUAUCUCCUCCAAGGUAGUUUGGAUGAUGAAUUGUAGGUUUGCUAGUGGAAAUGCUUGCGCGACUUGAUUGGAGUAUAUUGUGUUUGAUGCAGGAGCUCAAUACAGACUGGCAAAGAGCUGCAUCGGGCCUUCUUGUUUCGAUUGGCUUGCAUUUGCCUGACCUAGUAAGUAUCUUUGUGCAAGUAGAACUCGCAUUAUGUCGUAUGUGGUUUGAAACUGAGUGAGUUUGUUUUGUUACGACUAAUAUAGUGUGAGAUGAAAACAAUGGUAUAUUCUAGUUUGUUGCUUCCGGUAUACCCUUGUGAUCUGAUUAACUUGAGUGACUUGAGUGCUGGUAAGUAACUUUGAGGGGUAGAUCGUAGUAGUAAAAAAUUGACUGCCAACUAAUAUCGUUGUUACCACCCGAAUUCUCCCAACUCUUACACCAGAUUGACUAGUGAUGUAGAUAUAACAUGAGGAUCUAACCAUUGUGCCGUUGGCUCUGUUGGGAUUGCCAGCUUCUGUAUUUGAAUAUAGUUUUUCUACUGACAUAAAUGUUCAAAUUCCUUGAUGUUUGUUGCAACCUGUUUCUGGCAUCUUGAAAUGCCUGAAUUAAAAUUCAGUCUCCCAAUAUACUAUAUACAAUCGUAUUCCUUUUCUUUGGAUUAGUGGGUUGGGCCAAUCCUUAUUCUUGUAGAUAGUAUGUAACGUAUUAGUCUCACCUGAGGAAAACUAUGACAGGACCUAUGUUUUAGAUGUAUUUGAUUGUCAAAAGAUUAUUUCUCUGCACACUAUUAGCCCCAUUUUCUUGACAUUGUAUAGAAAUCAAUUUCCAGUGUUGGCAGUUAGUUCUCUCUCCCUUCCUCUUUCCUUGCUGUUCCUGAGAUUCUUCAUCAACCUGUCCGUUACUUGAUUUUCUUCUCGUUUAUUGAUAUUUCAGAUGAUGGAUGAAAUAUUUCUCCAUUUGCCCGGGCCAAAUUCAUCUUUACCAGCUAUGGUUCAGAUACUAGCAGACUUUGCGCUUGCUGAUGGUUGAUUAUCAAACUUUUCUUCUCUGCGUUCGAGCUUGUGCAUGUUCAUAUGUUACUUUUUUUUUCGUCUUUUGGCUUAACUAAAUUUCGUGACAGACUAUUUUAUCCUUUGAAGCAUUGCAGUUCACACCACGAUUGAAACAUGUGCUUUCGCGGGUUCUACCUAUUCUAGGAAAUGUGCGUGAUGCCCACCGGCCAAUUUUUGCUAAUGGUAUCUGAAUUGUCUCUUCUGUUUGGUUAUGCUAUAUUGAAGUGAAAUUGGAGUAAAGGGGUUGCUAUUAUUUGAGAGCUGUUGAACCAUUUACUAUAUGUUCCAAACACUGGUCAAAGUCUGCCAAAUAUCUCAAGUACUGCAAUGUCUAACUUGCACAUGCUAAGAUGGGUUAAGCUCAUGCUUUCAUUCCAAAUCAAGUAAAAGAUUAUGGCUGCCAAACCAACAAUUUCGAAUGUUCAAUAAAUUUCUGAAUGACUUGAGAAGAUUUAUGGAACUUGUGAUGAUGUUUCCAGUCUUGACUUGAGACAAAGGCCACUAAGAGGAAAGAUGAUAAUAAUAGCUGGGGCAUGCUAUUAUGUUAGAGUCUUAUUAUUUGUAGAUAGACGUGUUAUUUUCUACGUCUUUUAAGUUAUCCUUCUCAUCGUUGAUAAAACUUUCCCCUCUUUUUUUUUUUGCAUAGUCUUUGACAAAUUUCUCAUAAAUGUUAAUAUACAUAAUUUACUCAAUAAUAUUCUCUCUCUCUAGAUGCUGACUAUCUUUACGCUUUUCAGCUUUUAAGUGUUGGUGUCAGGCUGUUUGGCAAUAUAAUCUGGAUAACCCUUCUUACCCAUCUCUGGAUAGUGACAUAAUGUGAGAUCAUUGAUCCCAACCCAUCAUUUCAAAUAUGCCCUUUUUACAUGUCGAUAUGUUUCUGUCUUAAAUGAAAAAGCAUCAUAUACUGCAGGUCAUUUCUGAAUUCUGUUUUUGAGCUUUUAUUGAGAGUUUGGGCAGCUUCAAGGGAUCUAAAGGUUAGGAAAAUAUUCUCCUUCUGUUUCUUAUCGUAAUCUCACUGUUUUGCAUAAAAUUUUAUGCAGCUUCACUUUGGUAUUCGCUUAUCUAUAAGUUGGUUUCAGCCAAAUAAUUAUAUAUGAAUAAAGCCUGAUUUUUAAGUGCCUUCUAUAGUUCUACUUUCUUACUAUGUAUAAUGUCUAUUUUUCACAAAUGUAAGUAUCUUUCUUAUAAACAAAAGUUCAAAAGCAUAUAAUUUCGCGUGAAAGACACAAAUAUUUUACUAAUAAAGCAGUUGUUAUAGUAAAAGUCUGAGUAUCAAGUCUGGUGUUUGCUAUUGGUCAGAAAUUUAGAAAAGCAAUUACUCAUGUAUGGCCUCCUAUAUGCAUUUGUUUUUUCUUUGAUGCUGAAGAGCGUUGUUAAAUGUUAACAAAUUUUUAUAGAAGACUAGAAAUGCAGAUGCUUACAAAACUGCCCCAUAUUAUAGUGUUCCAUGUGGCUAGCUUUUGGUUUUUGAUUACAUCCAAAUGUCCAUUGGUAUUGGGUUUUGGAGGAGACCCUUGUUUUGAACUGGGACCAGCAAUUGGGUUUGGGUAAUCUGGGCAUAAAGAAAUUCCACUGAUAUUUUUUCUUUUUCUUGUACCUAUAAACCUUUUUUUUUUUACCUGUUAAGACAACUUAUUCCAUUUUACUGAUGUGAAAUUUGAUAUUAUAAACCCUUUUCGGAGAGUAGGUUCGGUCAUCUUCUGUAGAAGCAUUGGGUCAGAUGGUUGGCCUUAUUCCCCGGACGCAAUUAAAGGCUGCUUUACCCCGGCUUGUCCCCACAAUAUUGGACUUGUAAGAUUGAUUAUAGUAGUUCUGGUUGUAUAUGUUUAUGAUGCUGCACCACAUGUAUGUUUUGGUGUACCGGUUUUCGGUCACAGCACUUUUCCAUCUUGAUAUAUCUCAUAUAUUUCUCAGGAUAAAUGGACACACAUAGUGCUGGCUUUGUAUCUGUAAAUCUAUAUUAUCAAAAUCUUUGUGUCUUUUUCCUAUUGAUCAGAUACAAAAGAGAUCAAGAUAUUUCGUUUUUGGCAACUUGUAGUCUUCACAAUCUCUUAAACGCAUCUGUACUAUCAGAUAGUGGUCCUCCUUUACUUGAAUUUGAGGUAAAGCUACUGUAAUCUGUUUUUAUUCUUAUUUUUAGUUUUUAUUCCUAGUCAGUUUAUUGGUUGUAAGUCCUAAAAUCAUGUUAUUUUGACUGCAACACUUGACUUUUGUCUAUGGUUUUAAUUUGAAUAGCUGCGCUGGUUUUUCUGUUCAACAUUGUCACAAUUCUAAAAGAAUGAAACAUGUAUUUAGAUCGUAAAUUGAGACCAUGAAUCAGGCUUUGCAUAGUAGGAGAUCUUAUACAUUACAUCUUAGGUGUCUCGCUUCUGAUAGACUAGUACUGCUGUUUCUUUCAAACACCGGUUUAUUCUUAUGAUGGUUCGCAGGAGCUCAGCAUCGUUCUAUCAACACUCCUUCCGGUGGUCUGUAUCCAUAACGACAACAAAGAAAACUCAGAUUUUUCAGUUGGAUUGAAGGUGUAGAAAACUUAUUUCCUUAUGUUUGAAUAAGCUUCUGAUUUCUUUCUAUGUUGCUAGUUUCUACAAUGGUCUAUAAUUGCUUUAGUUAUUUCUUGAAUCUGUAGGUCUUUUGUUUAGAUCUCUAAUUUAUUCGUAUCUUCUUCAUGUUAUUGUGGUUCUUACUCAAACCACAUCUUUUUGACACAUCCUGUUUAUAAUGGAGGAUAACUUCACAUUCUCCCAGCAAAACAAAAAUUGUUUCCUGCCUUUUGCUUCAAGGACUAGGUCCACAUAGUAUCUAUGAUUUCAUACUGAUGUUUAUGCCAACAGCUACCUUCCAAAUGUUUGAGUUCUUUUCUUUUCCUUGUGGCCAGACAUAUAAUGAAGUUCAGCGUUGCUUCCUGACAGUUGGUUUGGUAUACCCUGAAGAUUUAUUUGUUUUCCUUCUAAAUGUGAGUAUUCUUUCAUCAAAUGUUCCUUCUUACUGCCACAUGAUCCAAAGUAAAAAAAAGAAAAGUUGUCCUUCUGUUCUACAAUAGUUUACAAGGUCCAACUUAAAUUAGAUGACCUUUUCUUUUUUCUGCAUUUGUGCUACCAGAAAUGCAACUUGAAGGAAGAACUAUUGGUGUUUGGUGCACUCUGUGUUCUAAAGCAUCUAUUGCCGAGGUUCUUUACAUUCUGUUGUCUCUAUUUACUUUGUCCGAUUCUUUUACAUAAUUUGACAUUCUUAUAAUUUUAUAUGGAGGCUGUCUGAAGCUUGGCACAAUAAACGACCCUUACUUGUUGAAGCCGUCAGAUCGUUGCUAGAUGAGCAAAACUUAGGUGUCCGAAAAGCGCUCUCAGAGGUAUUCAGAUUCAAAUUAUGAAGUGGUAGCUGUAGGCAAUAUGCUACCUUUUAAAUUACCUUUUUCUUCAGUCUUUUCAGAAGCACUUUUGUCUUUCCUCUCCACUAACUUUACAUUGCAUUGCUUGCGCAGUUAAUUGUCGUUAUGGCAUCGCAUUGUUACUUAGUUGGUCCGUCUGGGGAGCUGUUUGUUGAAUAUCUUGUGCGUCAUUGUGCUUUAACAGAUAAGGACAGACAUGACUUUGAGAGGUCUAAGGAUGUUUCAGGAAACACCUAUGUUCCCUUCCAAUACAAGAGAUCAGAGGUUUGCAUCCGACAAUUUUUACUUUUGGAAAUUUUAAUGUUGCUACUGAUCCUACGUGGCUGCUACAAAAGAAAUUUUUGUUUUGAUGUUACAAGCAUUCUGUAACAUUUACUGAGAUGAAAAUAUGAUGGCAAAAACAUAUUUGGAAACGGUGAAUUUUCUUUUAAAUGUUGUAUGUUUUAUGACUUGUCUCCAGUAUUUAAUCAUGUGCAUCUUAGAAUAACAUUUUUUUUUAAACAGUUACUGGAUUUUUCUAAACUGUCUUGGAACUAUCAGAUGCUUAUAGCAUUAAUGCUAGCUUCAUCUUCUUAGGUGAUAAUUGGGACACUUUGUCCAAUGGAGUUGAGGGCAAUAAGCGAAAAAAGUCUUCUGUUGCUGACUAUUACGAUCCCUGAAAUGGAGGUAUGCAAGAUUGUUGAUUCUACAUUCAGUAGACGUCUAAGUUUUUACUGGUGGUUUGAGCUUCUAAAGGGGUUUCUUUGUACAAGCAUAUAUCGACAUCUUAACAUUAUUUUCGUGCAGCAUAUACUAUGGCCUUUUCUGUUGAAGAUGAUUAUUCCACAAGCUUAUACGGGUGCAGUUGCUAUGGUAGGAAUUUCUAUAUAUCUUCGUCUUUACAUUCUUAGAUCCUGCUGUUUCUGUUGAGUAGAAGUUUACUAGUUCUUGGUGAUAAUCUGAGUCAAUGUAUGUAUUCAUUAUAGUUGUCUCCCGAAUUUGAAUAAUUUCUGCUGCUACAGGUUUGCAGAUGCAUCUCUGAGUUGUGCAGGCAUAGAUCUUCUAAUAGCGAUACUAUGGUGAAGGACUGCAAAGCUCGUGCUGAUAUACCAAAUCCUGAGGUAGACUUCUUUCUAUAUUGAACUUUGGACUCUUUUUUGUGCAUCUCCAGACAAUUUAUCUCAGCAAUCCAUAUAUUACUUGUGUUUAGGAGCUUUUUGUUCGGUUGGUGGUGCUUUUGCAUGAUCCUUUAGCAAGGGAGCAGCUGGCUAGUCAGAUUUUGACAGUAAGUGUAUAUUAUGUUUAAGUGUGGAUUUAUCCUGGAAAUAAACUGGGAGUAAUAUGUAUUAAUGAGUUGUGUCAAUUUACUUUUAUACUUGCUAUAGAAUUCCAAACAUGCGAAUCCAAUCUCAUUCACUAUAAUAACUGGUUUAAUGUGUAACACAUGGUUUAAUGAGUCAUGUCUACUUACUUUUAACCCAAAUAAACUGGUAACUUAAUGAGUCCCUAUAUAUAAGCACAAACUUGUCCACUGUUUUGACGAUUUGGUGUGUACCACCCCACAACAGCACCCCUCAUUUACUUGUGUGAGAGAUAUUUUAUCAGUGCGGGAGAUGUCAGAUGCUUCUUUGUAUUUUUCAAUAGAUGGUUCAGAUGAGUUUAAGAUAUUUUGCAGGUUAUUUCUUUCGUAAAUAAAAAAAUGGUGUUUGUGCACUGAUUUAGUUCACCUAUUAUUCUUAUAAUUCUAAAUGAGGAUACAUGUGCUUUUUGUGUUGCCUCGCAGGUACUUUGUUAUCUGGCACCACUGUUUCCGAAAAAUGUCGGCUUGUUUUGGCAAGAUGAGGUAAAUCAUUAUGCAGUUAGAAUUGAAUAGUUUUGUUAAAGCUGGAUGUUUCAUGUUUGGGUUAUAAUUUUUACAUAUAAGUAUUGUCAUACCUUUGAAACUAGGUUGGAUUAACAGGUCAUAAAUACCAUUGUUUAUGUGAUUUUAGAAAAUAAACGUAGUCUUGGCGGUGCUGUUCUUAUUUGUGACAAAAUCCAUAUGUGCUUUUAGAAGGAAAUAGAAAAGUAGUAAUAUUGGCGGAGAUGUCAUAUUUGUUUAUUUUCAUUUCCUUUUGGGAUUGAAUUCCUUGUUCUUUCCUGUGAAAUUCCUUGUACUUGACACUGAAUUUGGUAAAUACUUGACAAUUAUGUGCUUAAUUUUCCUUUUGGUGUAUUCCUUUUACCUGAUGACAGGGAAAACCAAAUGAUUAGUAGUCUAAUUUAUUUUUGUCUUUGGUAAGCUCUAGAUUCCAAAAUUGAAGGCAUAUGUUAGUGACACAGAAGAUCUUAAGCAAGAUCCUUCUUAUCAAGAAACUUGGGACGACAUGAUAAUCAAUGUAAGUGCAGUGGAUCUUUCAAUAAUACCGAUCUAUAUACAUGGGAUUUUUUUUGGAAUAUGGUUCAUGCUGGCUGUUGGAACCAUGUCCUACAGUGGAUCAUUUAGGUGAUGCUGGUAAAACAUAAUAAUCUGCUUCUAGACUUUACCAUGGCCAUUGAAUUUGAGAGUAAUUAUUUAAAAAUGAGUCGAUGAUUAUUUUCUAAAUUCUUCCUAUAAAUUCAUAUUUGUAUCAUUCAGAUUUUGUAGAAAAGUGUACUGACAGAGAGAGAGAGAGAGAGAGAGAGGUUAAAGCUUAAGGUUCUGCUCAGUGACUGGUUAGGUUAAUUUUUCUCUUUGAUUUUAUGCAACAGUUUUUUGCAGAAUCUUUGGAUGUGAUCCAUGAUGUUGCCUGGGUGAUAUCUCUUGGAAAUGCUGUUACCAAACAGUAUGGGCUUUAUACAGCUGAUGAUGAACAUUCUGCACUUCUUCAUCGGUAUUAUUCCUUUCAAACCUGUUUUGCUUUGCCUGUUAGAUGAGAUAUUGCAUAUUUAUUGUCACCUUCCAGCAUUGCUGUACCUGACUCUCAGGCCGUUAGUGUACAAUUGCUAUCUUCCUUAAGUAGGUCCCACAUGUCAGGGAGUUUGUCAGGUUGCUACCUCUCCUCACUACACUAUAUCUCUAUCUCAAGAAAAGAAAAAGGAAGCUAAAUAAAAUGCACAUAUAGUGAACAUAGAAGGCUGGUGCCACUAAGGAUAGUUUCUUAGUGGUUAAUAGGAUAGGGAUUCUUGUGGUGUCCACCCCAUACAAGGGUCAUGGAUGGUUGACAUUGGAUAAUCAUUGCGGGCACAAAUUUCCAUAGCAUUUCUCAAUUAACCCACAUUCCUUUGGUAUUGUUCCUCAUUUCUAGCACCAAGAUUGUAAAGAAUGCUGAAGCACAAAUGCAAUCAAGAAAACAACUUAGCUUUUCCUGCAUUUUAAUGAUUUAGUUGCAUGUAUUCUCAACAGAGUUUUACUAAUAAUGUCCGAUUUCUAUGGGCUUCUAGUGGUUGGUGCCCUCUGUGGUUUGUCAACUUGAGAAGCCAUGUCUAACUUCAGGGUUUAACUAUAAUUCUUUCAAUGCAGCUGCUUCGGAGUGUUGCUUCAAAAAGUUAAUGACAGGGCAUAUGUCCGUGAUAAGAUAGAUUGGAUGUAUAAACAAGCAGACAUUACAAUUCCAACAAAUAGACUUGGUCUAGCAAAAGCAAUGGGCUUGGUUUGUUACAGCCCCUUGUUUAUUUUCUACUCUUUCCACCUUUACAUCAUUCAUGAUGGAAUUCUUUUGUCCUCUCCACUUCCAGGUCGCAGCAUCCCACUUGGACACAGUCCUGGAAAAGCUGAAAGGGAUUCUGGAUAAUGUUGGGCAAAGUAUCUUUCGAAGGUUUUUGCCAUUCUUUUAGAGUGCUACAUAGCAUAUAUUUAUAGUUUAGUUUAUCUAGUUAGAUUAAGGAAAUAUAGAUUCAGUAAUGAAAAAAUAAUUUAUACAUAGACAAGGUGUAUACUAUGCAGCAAGGUGAAACUAUGCAAACCUUUUCCUUUUACUGCUCUCCAAGAGCAGAAACUGGGGAUGCUGUCAGUAUACUUAUGGAUCUUAGAGUUUCUUGCUCUUCCUUGCAAAACUCUUGUGGUCAAAUGUCAUCUGCAAUGGUUUUUUACCCAUAACAUGUUGUUUCUAUAUUGCAAGUAGAAAGUUCAAGGUGUUAUUUCUGGAAACAUAAGCUAAUAAAAUAUAACAAAGUCAAUCAAAUAAGAAGAAAAUGAAAUUGUAAUGUAAUUGUUAGUCCAAUGGUUUCCUUAGAGUGUGCACUACUGUUGUGUUCAGUACAAGCUUUAAAUUAUAAGAAAUGCAAGAAGUUGUUAAUGCAAUGUGACCCCUUUCUCUUUGUUUCUUUUGUCAUUGUCAUCCUUAUAUAUAUACACAUAUUUAUUUAUUUUUAUAUUGUAAUGCUCAAUUUACAUUUAGUGUGCAAUAUUAUGGGUUUGAUAUGAAGACAUUCUCCUUUGCUUCAUUUAUUGCAGAUUCCUAUCCAUUUUCUCGGACGAUUUUAAAACUGAAGAGUCUGAUGAUAUACAUGCUGCUUUGGCUCUAAUGUAUGGAUAUGCGGCAAAAUAUGCUCCGUCAACAGUCAUCGAAGCCAGAAUAGAUGCACUUGUUGUAUGAAAUCUUGUCCUUUCCUUAAUGCCCAUAAUACCGAGAAAGAAAUAGAUUCUGUUUUUCUCCCUUCAAUAUUUCUAGCAUGUAUUUUGAAUUAAGAAUCUAGUGAACUGUUCAACUUUAGGGUUCCUAUUUAUUUCUUGCUCAGACUUCUGGUCUUACUAAAAAGGCCAAGGUUUUUAGAUCUUGAAGAACUUACAUAUCGGUUACUUUUUCGUCUUGCAGGGGACUAAUAUGCUUUCUCGGCUUCUCCAUGUGCGCAACCCUACUGCAAAGCAGGCUGUUAUCACUGCUAUCGACCUUCUAGGUUUGUAAGAGUCAUUGGAAAUAUGGUGUCAUUUUGUUUCGUGUACUCUGUAUAAGCUGCUGCUGACAUGGAAUGUAAUGUUUAUGCUUUGUUGGGUGUUUUAACAUGUUUUGUGAAGUUCAUAGUCCUGUAAGCGGUUUAAAUAGUUGAAAUGCUCUGACUGGGUCUGUUACUGUAAUGCUUAUAACUAUUCCAUUCCCAAAGGAAGUCAUCACUGAAAAUGUUGUUAGCAUUGAGUCCUGAAUGUUUAACCCCAUAUAACCAGUGGUUAGGUGUCUGUUUGUUGGUGUGGUGUGCUUUGAAGUUGUACUUAAAUGUUUAUUCCUAUCCGGAGACUUGAAACAGAGAAAGAUUAGAUUGCAAAGAGUGUGUGCAUGCUUCUUUCCCUUUUAGUUAAUGUGCCUGCUUGCAUAUUCUUAGACACACUAACAUGCAGGGUUGUCGAACUUAAACUCUAAUAGAAGUGUAGGUGAUCAUAUUAUUGAUGUUGCUAAUGUAGUAUGGUGUUAUCAAUCUAUCGUUAAUCACAUGUUUAUGUUGGAAAAAGCUUGACUAUUUGGGCAGAAUGAUAUAUUAUUUCAAGAUUAGACAAGGAAAUAUUGUAAUUCUCAUUAUCUGCAAUUUUAUACAAUUGCUGUGCUAUGAUCUGUGCCAUAUGGCUUUGCACCUAAAGUUGAUGAAUUAUUAUGAAAUUGCAGGUCGCGCUGUCAUUAAUGCCGCAGAAAAUGGUUCAUCGUUUCCAUUAAAGAAAAGGGACCAAUUGCUAGACUAUAUAUUAACUUUGAUGGGACGAGAUGACGAUGAAAACCUUUCAGAUUCUACUCUUGAACUUCUGGACACACAAGUUAGUAAUAUCCUUGGAACAAUUGUCUGUGGCGAGAUUGCUUUUGUUUUUCCAGAAAACCAUGGGAAAAAGAAAUUUAAUUUUGGGAAAAAUUUUAUGGGUAUUUGUCUCAUUUGUAAUAACUUUCUACGGGUCAUUUUAUUUUUCUACAAUUUUUACGAUGAUCUUGCCUGAACACAUACCUAAAUACUAUAGACGUAUUAGAUCAUUGCACUCCAAAUCAAUGCCACAACAUAAAUUUCUCCUUAGCUGUACUCCUUAAGAGAGACCAAAUGUUCGUGAAUUUCUUUUAUAACUUUUUAUAUAUCUCUUCCCCCGGUUUACAAUUUUGCAGGCCCGUGCUUUAAGUGCAUGUACUACGCUGGUUUCUGUGGAGCCAAAACUAACAAUUGAAACCAGAAACCAUGUGUUGAAGGUUCGGUGUUAUUACACACAUGUUGUAUUUAAACUGAAAUCCUUUUUCUUGUUGGUUGUUAUUAAAUAUCAGUAAUCUGAUAAUUUGACAGGCCACCUUAGGGUUUUUUGCUUUACCAAAUGAUCCAGCAGAUGUAGUCGAUCCCCUUAUUGACAACCUUAUCACUCUAUUGUGUGCAAUUCUUCUUACAAGGUAUCGUAAACUUGUGGUCUGUUCUUUUCCAGACUACGUAUCUUCUGAUAUAUCAUUCUGUCAUCUAUUUUAGUUUUUUUAAAAUACUUUUUGUUUUGUUAUAUUUAUUGUUAAAGUAACCGGAAUCCAUUGGUCUUCAUUUACAAUUUUGGAUUUAUAUAAUGAGAUUAUAUCUAUCUUGAAAACUUUUGGGUAAGAUGAGUUUCCACAUCUGGAAGUUCUAAGCUUGCAUCUCAAAACAUAUAUUGUGGGCCUCUUCAGCCAGUGGGUUUGGUUUAGAAUCUAACUCCCACCAUUUAUGAAAGCAGACUGCUUUUAUAUCUUAGAGUAUGUUAGCGUUAACAUAAACUCGUGUCUACAUAAACCACUGACAAUACACAAAGUUUAGUCCCUUCACCUUUCCUCAAAUCCUUGAAAAGAAUGCUCAAGAAUUCAAAUAACCCCUUUAAAAACACUUCAACUUCCUUAACAGCCUCCACCAAUAUAGAGAUUAAGAACAAUGCCGGAAUAAGUGAUGCACACUCUCUCACUAAGUUUACAGAGAAAGCAUGUGAGUAAAUGCCCAGAGAAGUUCUAGUCUUUUGGAUCUGAUCACAUCCUAGGAGCCACUGAUCAGCCCAAAAUCUUAACUUCCGCAGUCUUCAAUUUCCAAAAGCUGAGAAAUUGGUGAGGGUAAGAGGAAUCCACAACAUGUACAAAAAGUACUGUAAGAUUUUCUGGAGGAAGUUCCAGACCCAUCUACUAUCUACUCCUGAAACAUGUCAACCCCCUCGAACUUACCAAGCUGCAAAACAAACUCCUCUGCCUCAAAGUCAUUCAAGUUAUUCCUAGAGGCUAGAGCCAAAACCCAGUUCUAAGGAAAAGGAAAAGAAGUACCUUGUAAUAACCUGGAAACAACACCUGCAGUAUAUUCUCCAUUGUCCUCCCAGAAUCUCACCCUGAAGAGGCUUAAUAGAGAAUAUAAAUUCUCACAAUCUUGUAUUCUAGGUCUUGCGUCUCAAUAUAUUGAAUCCCUGCCCUCCCUAAUGGUUUGGUUUUCUUAUGCAUCAAAACAUCUCUCUUUGUAAUUAACUAUGCAUUUUCUAGCUGUUAUGAAGCUAUGGGCCCCUUAUGUUUAUCCAGUUGAACUAACCAUUUAGAUUCUAGGAAUUGCUUUUGCUACUUUUCUAUAUUGAUUAGUGAACCUAUAACAGGGAAAUUGCAUUGGAUUAUAUGUAUAGCUGUUUUUAUUUACAACAUGCAUAAGGCUUCUGAUUACCAAUAUGUGACAAUUUAGUGGAGAAGAUGGAAGAAGUCGAGCAGAGCAAUUACUGCACAUCUUGAGACAAAUUGAUCAAUAUGUUUCUUCAGCUGCCGAUUAUCAAAGAAGAAGAGGUUGUCUUGCAGUACAUGAGAUGCUUCUCAAGUUUCGGACAGUUUGCAUCACCGGACAUUGUGCCCUUGGCUGUCAAGGAAGUUGUACUCACAUCAAGCCAAUUGACCGUAAUUUGCAUGGGAAUUUUUCCAACUUGCCAUGUAAAAAUGUCUCCUAUGACAGCUUUUUCCCUUUUUAUUUGUUCUUUCCUACCCUGAUUCUUAUAUUGUUGAACUACCAGCGGCAUUCGUGUUGCCAAGUCGUGAGGCCUUGUCUUUAGGAGACAGGGUUAUUACAUAUCUCCCACGCUGUGCAGACACCAAUGCUGAAGUUAGAAAAGUCUCUGCUCAGGUGAGUUUCUGGUAGAAUUUGCCUGGUCUUUUAGUUUUAGCUUCUUUUUUUUUUUUUUUAAAGAAAAAGAAAAUUUACACCUCAUUGUUAUCUGAUAUAAGUUAUAUUGACACCCAAGUGUUGUUUCUUAUUUUGAUUACAUAUGACAUAAAUCUAUCUAUCUCUGUGUAGAUUCUUGAUCAACUUUUUAGCAUCUCACUUUCACUUCAACGGCCUGCAACUUCCUCUUAUGGUGUUGACAUAGAAUUGUCCUACAGUGCUUUAUCAUCCCUGGAGGACGUCAUAGCGAUUUUGAGGAGUGUAGGUCCAUUGCCUUACUCGUUUUCUUCUUUUUCAGAUUUCUGUUCUUUACAUUUGUACAUUCCAUUGUUGGGUAAAUUUGACACUAGGGAAAUCUUAUGGUUUUUCUAUAUAUCCAGGAUGCUUCUAUAGAUCCAUCUGAGGUUUUCAACAGAGUCAUCUCUUCUGUUUGUUUAUUACUCACAAAGAAUGAGGUUAGUGCGUUGUACUGAACAUGCUCUCAGAAUUGAAAUGUAUGCUGCAACUGUCGUAUCUUAUUCUCAGUCAAUUCUUGCAGCUUGUAGCUACCCUGCAUGGUUGCACAGCUGCUAUUUGUGAUAAGGUCAAGCAAUCAGCUGAAGGGGCAAUUCAAGCUGUUAUUGAGUUUGUCACAACAAGGGGGAAUGAGCUGAGUGAAAUUGAUGUUUCAAGGUUUUUGUGAUUAUGAAUUUUUAAUUUAGUAAUAGAUUUCAAAAACAGAAAUAUUUGAAGAGCUUUUCCCUCUGGAUAAAGAAAUAGAUUUAUGCCCAUUACUGAUGGGGUAUAUUUGUGGUUAUAGAACAACGCAAGCUCUACUGACGGCUACUGGGCAUGUAACAGAGAAGCAUUUACGUCAGGAAACUCUUGCUGCCGUAUCUUUUUUUACCUUUAUAAUGAAUUACAUGCAUGUAUAUGUAACAGGGCCUUUUAAAGUGAAUGAUGCCUCUUGAGAGAAGAAGGAAACAUAGUUUAUGAUCUAUUGGCUGUUGGCUACUGCACAUUGUGUUCCGAUGAUCCCUAUUCACAUAUUUUGAAUCUCCCUUUAAGGAUCAGGCAAUAUCACUUUAAAUUGGUUUACUCAUAUAGUCAUUUAUGAUAACUUCAGUAUUCAUGGCAAACUAAUUGUCUAUUUAUUGCAUUAAGAUAGAUUAUUUUGGCUGUUUCUUUUUUCUUUCUAAGAAAGCACUUUACUCAGAAACUCCCUAUAACUGUGUCCAAUCUUAUAUAUAAAUAUUUCCUGUUGCCUUGCUUGUCAAAUUCAGCAAUGCUGUUGCUCUUAUCUAUCAUUUGGUUAUUCUUUUUUGGGCUUCUAUCGAAUAUCCUUAACUGCUAGAAGAUUUCUUCUCUUGCCGAGAGCACUAGUUCGAAAGUUGUCUUCAAUGAAGUUUUGGCCACAGCUGGAAGGGAUAUAGUAACGAAAGAUAUAUCCAGACUACGCGGUGGCUGGCCAAUGCAAGAUGCUUUUUAUGUGAGUCUCCUGUGACUUUCACUUGUUGCACUUUACGGUCAAAUCUUAAUGUUGAUUGGUCAGGAGUAGCCAUCAUUGUUGCCUUGGUCUCGUUGCCAAAUUUAGUUCGACUAUUCUCUCUGAUUGAUUUAUCUUUCAUUUUACUAGUAUUAUGUCCUUAAGUUCUUCAUUUAAUUUAUUCAGUUUGAUGUGAAUGAUUUAUUUUUAUUUUUCCCUGUAGGCAUUUUCCCAGCAUACAGUUCUUUCCUCUUCAUUCCUGGAACAUGUGAUAUGUGUCCUUGAUCAGUAUCCUGUCCUUAAAGCUGAUUCCGAGAAAGGAGACUAUUCUAGCCCUUCAGUUGAUGGUCAUAUAGACGAUGAAGUUCUUCACGCAGCCAUUGUUGCUCUCACUGCAAUUUUCAGGUUUAUAGAAAAUGAUGCUGUCACUGCCGUCUAUUUGAUCCAUUUAUUUAAUCAUCAUAGUAUCAGUAAUCCAUAUGUCAGCUUUGCUUAUCAGACUUGAGCUAGAUUUAUUAGUUAGAUAAGUUCGUUAAGUCUACUUUUAUUGCAGAGGUGGUGGCAGAAUAGGAAAAAAAGCUGUUCAACAAAACUAUGCUUCUGUUCUUGCUGAACUCACUCUUCAAUUGGGAAGCUGUCAUGGUCUGGCCAAGUGUGGUCAGCAUGAACCAUUACGGUAAUCAUCUUGUAGAUUUUACUGUUUGGCAUAGAACAUAACUGACACCAACACACACACAUGUGUUUAGUCAUAUUUGCAUACACAGAACCAAUCAGAAGCACAUGUCUGCAAUGUGAACUCUGCCAAAAUGCUGGGGCUGUUCAAACUUUGAAAGGUGUUGUUAUAUCCUUUUGAAUGUGCAGCUGUUUUGGCCAAGGUUCACAUUGCAGAGGUCUGCUUCUGAAAAUGUAUACAUAUACUGUGAAAGUUUGAAUUAUGUUAUUCGAUGUCUCAAUUUGUGUGCUCUUGCAGGGCACUUCUAACUGCAUUCCAAGUAUUCUGUGAAUGUGUUGGAGAUCUUGAGAUGGGAAAGGUACAAAAUAUAUAAAGGACUGCAAUCUCUCUAUUUGUUUGUUCAUAAAUUGUCUCUUGCAAUAGGAGUGAAAUGUAAUUUGGAUAUACCUUGUAAUUUUGUAUAGAUUUUGGCUAGAGAUGGAGAGCAAAAUGAAAAUGAGAGGUGGAUCAAUCUAAUUGGAGACAUAGCGGGCUGCAUUUCCAUAAAGAGACCGAAAGAGGUAAUAUGGCUCUUCUGGGACACUAUUUAUGUAUUGAUAUACAUUGGAACUGAUCACAGUGAAGUGAAUGCCAAAGUAAAUGGCAGUGACAGUGAGUGUAGACUUCAAGAGAGAGAUAACUGUUAAGUUGUGUUCUGUCACAUUAUCGUGGAUUUUGGGUAAAAGGGAACUUGCCCGUACACAAUUUGCCUUUGUUAGACACUAGGACACGUGAUAUAUUUAUGCUAUGUGUUUUAAUUUCUUUAUUUCUAAAUUCUUAGAUUAAUAAGAACCCCUAUGAAUUCAUGUUUAUGGCUGGGUAGUUUUGUUUCUUGAUGGAUCUUUUUGUUUUUCUUUUAAGGUUCAAAGGAUAUGUGUAAUUUUUAGUAAAUCAUUAAAUAGACACCAAAGAUACCAAAGGGAAGCUGCAGCUGCUGCAUUGUCAGAGUUUAUCCGCUACAGGUAUGAUAAUGAUGUCAGUCAACACUGGUUACUUGUUUUUAGAUGCAUUAUUUCACAUAUUUUAACGUGUAAAAGAUAUUGCUAUUUCCAUGAUAAUGAAAGGAGUUUCCUGUUGCAAAUGUUGUGUCCAUCCUGUGUCAUUUGUCUCAGUGUUGUUAUUAAUUUUGUUUACAUUUGCGAUCACUGUUGUUUGUAGAGUUUGCAAGUUUUCUAUAGGAUGCCAAAUAGCACUCUACUUCUUAUUGGUUCCUUCUAAAUCACUUAUUUUGAUAUGCACAAACUGUCGUUAUUUCGAUGGUGCAUUAUUGCGAUCAGGAUAUCUUAUCAUCACAAAAACGCUAUCCGUCAUGACAUUAUAGCUGUGUAAUCUUGUUAACUGAAGGCAUACGGUAUGGAAAAUAUUGGUUUACUCAAAUUUUUUUCAUAUAACAAUAACUGAUCACUCUAUGCAUUUCAAUUUUGUGCGUCUCUGAGACCGGUUUAGUUCUUUGCAAACAAUUUGAACUCCUUUGUGCAUAAAUUUAGUUCAUUCAUCCACUCACACUUGUGUGUUAUUAGUUAAAUUGGUUCUGUUAGCUUUUCAUUCCAGCAUCUUACGAGUUAAUAUUCAUGACAAUGCAGUGAUAGUUUUGGCUCCCUAUUGGAGCAGAUGGUGGAGGUGUUGUGUCGACAUGUAACAGAUGAGUCUCCAACUGUCAGGCGCUUAUGUUUGAGAGGAUUAGUACAGGUUUGCUAAUUCUAACACAUGUUUAGGAACCACUGUUCAACUUUUGUGUGUGCUUUCUCUUUUCCCUUAAUUUUCUUUUGAUCUCUGCAUAGUAUGAAUAUGUACAGGAGGAAAUGACAUUUCUAACUUUUUCUGUUGUAGAUACCUUCUAUUCAAAUGCUUCAGUAUACAAGUCAAGUGCUGGGCGUAAUAUUAGCUUUACUAGAUGAUUCUGAUGAAUCUGUGCAAUUAACUGCAGUUUCUUGCUUACUCACGGUGAAUUCUCCACCCCUCUGUAGGUGUUCAUCUAAUUUGCUACAUCUGCCGGUUACAUUUUGGUAAUCAUUCUUAUUUUUUUGGAUGCAAUAGAUGCUUGAGUCGUCACCCAAUGAUGCAGUGGAUCCCAUUUUGCUCAGUCUUUCUGUACGGCUUCGUAAUCUUCAGGUGUGCUACUUUACUCUUUGGUCUACUUGCUCAGAAAGUUAUUUGCAGUCUAGAAUGAUUUACUAAAUGUUUGAAACAGAUAAGCAUGAACCCCAAGAUGCGAGCCAAUGCAUUUUCAGCUUUAGGAUCACUUUGCAACUACGGAACUGGGGCACAACAUGAGGCAUUUCUUGAGCAGGUUGGAACCUAUCUUAUGUAUUGAAGAAACUUUCUUUGAUUUGAAUCUUGAUUAUCAUAUUUCAUGGUUACACCCACCCACCCACAAGUGCACAGAUAUAUAAAUAAUAUGCAAGCAGUGGCGGAUCCAGGAUUUAAAUAUGGGGUGGGCUUCAAAUUUGGCCGAAGGCCAAAAAAAAUUUCGUUGUAUACCCAUGCAAAGUGUAGGAGCUCAAGCAUACGUCAAUUACGAGUCUUUGAAAAAAAUGAAAAUAGGCGUCAAUGAAAGUAGAAGAAAAUUUAAAAAAUAAGAGACAAAUUAGAAAACCCAAUAAGAAUAUAUUGAAAUCCAAUAUUUCAUCGGAUUCUAUAUAGGAAAAAGAAGAUUAGAAAAUUUAUAUUCAACAAACUUUAGAGAUUUAAGCAGGAUAAGACUAGAAAACUAGAAGGAUAAGAAGAAGAAUGGAAGAGUAGAGAUGUAGUCGCAUACACAAGAUGAGAUGCGUAAAAGUAUGGAAGUUAGGUGGGCUUGAAUGCACAAAAAAAAAUAUAUCCAAUAAAAAAAACAUAAUACACUUGGUUUUUUUUUCAAUCCCAAAAACCUUGGUUGGGCUUGAGCCCCACCAACCUCUGCACUGCCUCCGCCCCUGUAUGCAAGUAUUAUGGUUUUGGUUCUAGUUAUAUCUUGUCAAGAUAACUUGUUAGACCAUUAUUGUUCGAUACUUCAACCACUUGCUUAAAUAUAUUGUAAAUGGAAUGACCUAUUUGUUUGUUAUUAUAUGAAGCUCAUAUUGAUCAUAAAUACUAAUUUCAGGUACAUGCUAUUAUUCCACGCUUGGUUCUGCAUUUGCAUGAUAACGAUGUUAUCGUCCGACAGGCUUGCCGGGUAAUUGCUUACGGUCCCUGUUAUUUCUUCCAGGGAUGAAGGUUUAUGGAAAUGUUUUGACAUGUCUUUGGUUGACUGAUUAACAGAGUACUUUAAGACGAAUUGCCCCCUUACUGGAUAUGGAAGGAUUAUUUCCCUUGUUCAACAUGCAUUGUUUCAAUCAGGAUCACCGGUAUGCCUGCAUAUAUUUUGAGAUGGCUGAGUUUAUACAACGUUUAUGAAGUGACACAUUAUAUGAUGAUAGUAAAGUCACAGAAACUUUUGUCUUUUCAGAACUGACUACGAGGACUUUGUCAGAGAACUCACAAAGCAAUUUGCUCAGCAUCUUCCGUCAAGAGUCGAUUCUUACAUGGCAUCGGCAAUUCAGGUUCCCAUGCUGGAAAGCUUGUUCUUUUCAUACAAUUAAUAUUAGUCUUGGUUGGUUGCCAUUUGCCAAGCUUGGUAUCAGCAUUACUGUACUAAGAAUUGGUUAGGCGUAGAUCCAAAGGGAAAGGAAAUGGUACACUGAUUCUCGUACGCUCUACAUUUGAUACUUACCUUAGAUUGAUAGAUCUACACCUUCUGAUUUAUUUUUAAAGCCUGUCUUGGUUAGUUUAUUGUCCACACCAACCUGUUUAGUAUCAAAUUCAAACCAUUAGUUUGAAACUGUCACAAAGAAUUACUGUAGCUAAACGUACAACCUUUUGUUUAAAGGAUAAUUUGAAAGCUUACAUGUCAAGCCACUCACAGCUUGCUCUAUGGAGGCUGGACAGGCAUAACUGCCGCAUUUGAGCUAUCCCUUAAGAUGUAGGCUAACUUUCUAGAAGUCUCGUACAUUCUUGAUGUUUUUCCUAUAAUGCAUAAUAUUUGGCUUUAUAGAAUAGCACUUCUAUUGCUUAGGUCAUUUUCAAUUUCUUAUGUAAUUUGAGCGCACAACUACUUAUCAGACAUUCUUAUUGUGGCAGGCUUUAGAUGCACCUUGGCCAAUAAUCCAGGCAAAUGCUAUAUACUUCUCCAGCUGUAUGCUAUCUCUGUCAGAUGAUCAGCACAUCUUGACUAUCUAUUAUCCACAGGUCAUUUUCAUGCAGAUUGCUAUCUUUUUAUGUCAUAACCAAAACAAACUUGGCAUGCUUACAGAAACUCAUGUCUUCAUCAGGUAUUUGGUACAUUAGUUGGAAAAUUGAACAAGUCAACAGAUGCAAGCGUGAGAGCAACGUGCUCUUUGGCCCUUGGUUUGCUAUUAAAAUCCUCAAAGUCGAUAUCAUGGAAAGCAGCUCCAGUUGAUCCUGUGGAGUAACUUGAAAUGGUCAUCUUCAUCUGUAUACGUCAAUGGCAAGUCUCCCAUUGUAAUCACUCGGCUGGCCUCAAAUUCAGGGUUUUGUGUAGCAAUGCAUGUUGGAAGUGGAAGACAUGGUACUCAGUUAUGCAGGAAGCUAAAAAAACCCUCAAUUAGGUGACUUUUGAGGUGCAUGUAGUGGUUAGCAGUGCCUGCAAUGGCAAUCGGUGUGUAUAUUGUCAAUUGUUGUAAAUUAUGUCAAUUGUAACUUUAUCAUCCCACAUUGUGCGCCCUCACUGCCGUGGGUCAUUUGUGUAUUCUGUUUGUUGUAUAUGUAACGACUUUGUUGUAACGACUUGUAUCAUAACAUGUAUGCUUAAUUACCCAGAUAAACAUAAACUCAUUGAAGCCAGAUGUUGUAAACUUGUAAAUUCGCAAAUGAAUGACAUCUGAUCUUUUAUGAUAUAUAUAACUCCCUACUUGGUUGAUCAUACCAAAAAAAAGUUUCUUAAAACAAUGUCACCUAAUAUGCCAUUGUAUGACACUUGUUUUUUUUGUUAGCUAUUCAUUCUCUGAUGGCCAACCACAAGUGAAAACUUCGAGUGUCGAUAAGUUUAACAAAGUAGUAUUGAAUCGCUGGCUCUUUGGCGCCCUCAUUCAUUCUGGGAGGGGACGCCCCCCCCCUAGGAACUGUCUGUUCGAGAUCUUCUCCUGCUUAUUUUGUUUUCCUUUUCCUUUGUUCGUUACUUCGUUUGGUUGAGAUUUUGAGCUGCUUGCCUUUAGAAAGCAUGUCGUUUUAAAAAUAUUGAAACACAAACAAACGUACAAUACUCGAAUGUGCUUACAAAUUGGAAAUCCUUUGCUGUUUUUAAGUUUUUUCAUUUUUAUAAAAUUGCUUACAUAAAUUGGGACCACAUGAAAUGAAAAAUGCUUCAUUUUGUAUCCCAACUUGUACUUGACAAAGACUAGAAAUCUUGUUAUAUCAAAUCAUAUUAUCCUCUAUGCUUCUUGUGGUUAACAUACGAAUUUAAGAAUACAUUGAUAAAGGCUGUGAGGAAAUUUAAAAAGCUUGAGAGCUACCUUUAUUUUCGAUUUUUUAUUCUUUGAUAAUAGGACCACAUUGCAUGAUUACAGACUAACACAAUUAUUAUGGCUAAUUGAUAAUUAAUUAGACCAAUAAUAGCAGCAAAAUGGGACACAAAUUGAAGGUUGUCUUGUCAGUUGUCACCGAUGUGUUCCAGAGUUCUUGAUGAAGUUUUUUAGUUGUGCUUUGCUCUCUUUUGCACUUGUUCAGAACAUCGAGAAGAGUUGAUUCAUUGUCUCAAAUUACGUCCUCAGCUUUUCAACUUCGACUAACAACAAUUAGGUUGUGAGAGAGACAAAAUCCUAUAUAUGCUGACUGCGUUUUCUAGAAGAUUAAGAACGUCUAUGCAAGACAAAAGUCACGAUAAUAUCGAAUAUUAACCAAUUUUAAUUAGUACCAUACGUCUAUACUACCAUCUAAAGCUCUAUAUUUUACCAAGUAUUCAUUUCCGCAGAUGAAAUGGGAGGCCAUAACUUAUAAAAUUUUCAUUUGGCAUGUCAACUUGGUACUAGACAAAAUCUAUAAAUCCUUUUUUUUUUUUUGGUUCGAAAAAAUCUAUAAAUCCUGCAAAACCCAACUAUAGAUUCUGAAAUUCUUGAUCAUUUCUCAAUAGUCUGUAUGUACUAUUGUACUAUACGACCCCAUUUGAACUCGAAUAACUAUGCCAUAAUGAUAAUUAUUUUACGUAAGGGAAUGCUAAUUAAUUUACAAUACUCUAUUUCACAGUGAGCAGGAGCUUCACGGUGCAUAUACUGUUCAUUUUCCAGAAAUUUACCAUUUUGUCCCUUCUUCUUCGUUUAUUUAUAACGCUGUUAUUCAGUAUGAGAGAGAGAUAGUGACAAUUUUGUAAAUUACCAAAAAAAGAGGACAAAAUGGUAUUUAUUGAUGGGGAUGACAGAGGUGUAAAUCAGAAAAAAACAUGGGUAAAAUAGUAAUCCCACAGUCUAGAUGGUCAACUCAAUUAUCGUUUUGUUCUCAUAUUGUAGUUAUUUACAAAAUUGCUUAUCUCUCUCUCUCUUUUGGUCAGCUAUCUAGUAUAUAACUAGAGCCUAGAGGACCACCUUUGUUUGGGUAAAUAAACCAGUAAAUUAAAUAAAAAAUGAAAGGGCAAAUUAAGCGCAACCAAAGCCAAAGGCAACAAAGACUACAGAACAAGGAAAAUAAAACAAGCUUGUUUUAUGAAUAAUUGAGAAGGACCACAAUGAAAUGGCAAAGGACAACCUAACAUUAUGACUAAUUGUUAACUCCUGCAUCAUCAAGUGUUCUAACGAUUUCUAUUAUAUGGUGAUAAUUACUUGAGGAAAUUUUACAUAUAGUACCCCAACAACUUAUUCAUCAUUUUGACAUAUUAUUUUUAGAAACUAUCACAUAUGUACCUCAAUGCUAAAACUCAAACCAAUUUUAAUACAUACAUGUCUAUAAUAGUGUUAAACCUUUAUUUCUCAAAUGAUAUUUUCAUCUCUCAAUAUUUCAGCUUAACUUUUUAUUUUUUAUUAUUUAUUAUUAGCUCAAUUUUUUGUUGGUUCAACUCAAAAAAAAAAAAACCCUCCCAAACCCUCUAAUUAAAUUCUCUCUCUCUCUUUUGCGACCGAGGAGCCUUUGCAACCAUCACCAGCACCAAAGUUCAUAGGAUCAUGACCCAGAGUAAAGCAUGGAAUUUAGAUUUGACUCUUUCAACAAAAACAAUAGGAUUGAAGGUUGAUAAUUGGUAUUGAUGAGUACAUGAAUUUGGUUGUAGAUGACGUUGAAGAAGUGAGCAUCAAGAACAAUACCGGAAGACACUAGUUAAGAAAUUUUCCUCAACGAUUAACAUAACUCUCAUAAUGAACACGGGAAAAUGAUGAUCGAUCUGACUCAAAGUCAAAAAUAAUAAUCAUCUGAAAAAUGAAUUGCAUAUCAACCUCAGAGAUUCAACUUCAGCCCCAGAGAUUCAAAUUAUUUAACUCAAUCAAAUUUGUAGCUAGCCCCGUCAACUUUUUGAGUUGAAAUUGCUGUUUAUACUUUCUGGGUUUUGGUGGUAUGGAUUUGACUAUUUGAGAUGGGGAGAGAGAGUAAAAGACGGAGUUGCCCACUGAAUAUCUUAUGUGGCAAUGGAGCUGACGUCGUCAAUGACGGCAGGUACUAAAAAGUUCUUGAGGUUCGAUGUUGAGGUGCUGAUACUAUAGUUUUCAAAAUUGGUAUAUUGAAAUGAUGAACGACUCUUACUUAGGGUACCAUUUGUAAAUUUUUCUCUAAUCACUUAGCAAAACCCUUUACUUCAGUCAAAUUGAGCUUAUGUCUUAACAAAGGGGAUAUAAAAAAAAUAUUAAUAGUGACAUGUUUAAAUAUAAAAACAAAAAUAAAAGCUAAAGGCUGGCCGCAUUCUCUAUAAAAUGCUUUUCAUGGAUGAUACUCUUCAUAUCUAACCUGGUUGCUAAUCAUGGGAUCCCCAACACCCCAGCUUCACUUUACCUUAUUCCCUCUAAUGGCCCAAGGCCACAUGAUUCCAAUGGUUGAUAUGGCUAGAAUGUUGGCACUGCGAGGUGUUACCAUAACCAUAUUCACAACGCCAUGCAACGCCGCCCGUUUCAAAUCAGUCCUUGAUCAAGCCAACGAAGCCGGGCUUCAAAUUCGAGUAAUCGAACUGAAGUUUCCAUGUCAAGAGGCAGGUCUACCGGAGGGGUGCGAGAACUUCGACAUGCUACCUUCACCCCACUUAGCCUUCAAUUUCUACAAUGCAACAGCUAUGCUACAAGAGCAAGUAGAGAAGUUGUUCCCAGAGCUAACACCAAAGCCAUGUUGCAUAAUCGCAGACUUAUGCUUGCCUUGGACAAACAACAUUGCUAACAUGUUUGAUGUACCAAGGAUAAGUUUCCAUGCACACUGUUGCUUUUCACUCUUGUGUAUGCACAACUUAGGCGUUCAUUAUAAGGAGUAUGAGAGUGUAACCUCCGAUUCAGAAUACUUUAUUGUUCCAGGUAAUUUGCCUGAUCGAAUCGAGGUUACGAAAGCUCAGAUACCAGGACCAGUGCUUCCAAACUCGAAGGAUUUCCUUGUCCGAUUGGGAGCAGCUGAGAGCGCCUCAUACGGUUCCAUUGUGACUACUUACGAAGAAUUCGAGGGAGCAUAUGUUAAUGAGUACAAGAAUGCAACAAAAAAGAAUUAUCUCUGGAGUAUCGGACCAACCUUCUUGUGUAACCAAGAUGACUUGGAAAGAGGAAACAAGUCCUCAAUUGAGAAAAAUCAGUGUUUGAAGUGGCUUGAUUCCUGGGAACCAAACUCUGUGCUCUAUGUUUGCCUCGGAAGCCUAUGUAACCUGAUGCCUUCACAACUCUUAGAGCUUGGCUUGGGGAUUGAAGAGACAAAGAGGCCAUUUAUUUGGGUACUAAAGGAAGGGAGAACAUCAAAAGAGUUAGAGGAGUUGCUCUUGAAAGAUGGUUUUGAGGAAAGAAACAAAGAAAGAGGCCUUGUGAUCAGGGGUUGGGCACCUCAAGUGUUGAUUUUGUCACACCAAUCAACUGGAGGGUUUAUAACACAUUGUGGAACGAGUUCAUUUCUUGAAGCAGUAUGUGCUGGGGUUCCCAUGGCCACUUGGCCACUAUUUGGUGACCAAUUUUUUGCUGAGCAUCUUCUUGUGACAGUUCUGAAAAUUGCUGUGAGAAUUGGGGUGCCAAAACCACUGAAUUGGGGAGAGGAAGAGAAGACUGGGAUAUUGGUGUAUAAGGAAACUGUGAAGGAAGCCAUAGAAAUAUUAAUGGAUGAAGGUAAAGUAAGCCAAGAGAGAAGGGAGAGAGUUAGGGAGCUUUCAAUUUUGGCAAAGAAAGCUGUACAAGAAGGGGGUUCAUCUUAUGCCAACAUUACAAAUCUAAUCCAACAUUUCAUGCAAUUAUGAAGUGGUGGGUGUGAUGAAUCUCAGUUUGGUUUCAAGGUGUGUGUUGUUUUUAGUGUUUGAAAGAUGUAUUUGCGUCUUUGUCCAAAGAAGAAAAUAAAAGAAAAGUGUGUGCUCUCCAAGGUGAUGACACUUAUGUACGUGUAUCCUUGGGUUUGUUACUGUUGUUAAUCAAUUGUAUGAUGGAAAUAAGAUUGAAGACUUAGGGAAAUUAUUAUUUGUACCCGGAACACCACGUGUCUUAUGUUUCUUUUUAAUUUUAUAGAAAAUUUCAUAUAAGUCUAUUUUGAGACAUUUUCUCCUACAUAAAUCCACCCUAAACUUUUUACUCAUAUAAGUCCACUUAUGAGCUUAAAUCCACCAAUUCAGUAUUGUACUAUACCUAAAAUACCCUAUAUGUACUCUCCCUCAUCCACAAUCAGCUCCCUUGUCCACGAUCACUCUCUCUCUCUCNNNNNNNNNNNNNNNNNNNNCUCUCUCUCUCUCUCUCUCUCUCUCUCUCUCUCUCUCUCUCUUCCCCCCUCCGAUGAUGACGCCGAAACCCUAGCCCAACCAAAGCCGAAGCUCAACAAUUGAGGAACGCAGUCUGUUGUCUGCCGAUCGACGCCACGUAGCCGCCACAGACCAUCGCGACGGUGCUAUGGUACAUUUUUUCGCUCAACUCCCUUUCUCGAAUUUCUGAUCUGUUUGCUGUGUCUGAUGAUCGGAGUUGAUGAUUCUUGUGGUUCAAAAGAAGGAGGAGGAAUUGAAGAGAGAAAUCGGAGGUUUGAAAAUGGAGGUUGUGAGGGAGCAGCUGAUCGAUGAACUAGAGGAUCAGGGUCUAUGGAUCGAUGGAGGUCUUUUGAGGUAGCGGUGCUCUUCGUUGUUUGUGGUUUCUUAUUCGCGAUCGCCGUCGCAAAUUGAGCUUCGUCGGUAUGGAGUUACUGUAGAAUAAUUUGUAUAUUGAUUUUGAGAUACUGUUAUUCUUUGCAAAUACUACUUGUACAUAUUUAGAAGGCUACUAUUAUAGUUUCGGAAGGCUACUUGAACAAACCUGCUACUGUCAAUUUUUCUUCUUCCCACAGUGACUAAACAUGGUAUGUUGUAAAACAAAAAGAACUACUAGAACUGUGGAAAUUCUACUACCAUACUUUUAAAAAACUACUAUUGAUUCCACACAAACCUACUGUGCGUUUUGUUAGUUGAUAGAGUUUUAGAAUUAGUUCAUGUGUUUUCAUUCAUGCAUGUCUACUAAUCUUUGUCAUAUCAUUGUUAUUCCAAAAACUCUGUUAUCUCUCUGAUUCUAAUUUAUCGGCCACUUGUGUUAUAGUUAAGUCGUAUUGUUAUAGUGCUUCUUAUGGACUCCCUAUUUUAGACAUGAGUUCAGGGUGAUAGCAGAUUUAUGUUCUUGUAUUAGUAUCCUCUCAUGUUGCUAGAAGUAUAUUUUCUUAUAUGUUGUGUUUUUGUUCUUGCAUAAUUCAUCGCUUUGCAAUUGUGGUGGUAGAUAUCGAAAAUCAUGUGAAUUUGGAUAUUGAAGCUUCCAUAGAGAUCAUUCAGCCAACCAAGAAAAUCGUUCUCUAUGUGGAAAAAUUAUGCCUAUGAGUUUUGACUUUUAAGCAUCACCAUUGAAAACUGAUAGUAGCUUUAUACAACAAUUGUAGCGGACUUCCGGAACUACAGUAGUAGCUUUAUGAAACUAUUGAAGUAGCUUUGUACAUAAUUAUAUUAUUGUAGAAGGCUUCAUAUUUUUUGCACUGUUGAAUUUGUUAUAUUCUCUUGAUUGCAGUAACUUUUCUUCUGUUUGGUAGUAGGUUUUGUUGUGCUUGGUAAUAUCAUGUGUUUUGCUUGGUAGUAGCUUUUGUUGCUGGUGAUAGUAACUUUUUUUAUGCUUGGUAGUAUCUUUUGUUAUGCCGGAUAGUAGUUUUUGUUCUGCUUAGUAGUAACUUUUGUUGUUAGCGACAUUAUAUGUGACCUUUCUGAAGGUCGUCGAAAAUCUCACCAUAGCAGCUUUUGUUGUUGGAUAUAGUAGAUUUUGUUGUUGAAGGUAGUAGAUUCGAUUGGUGGCGGUAGUAGCUUUUGUAGGUGACGGUAGUAGCUUUUGUUGACGGUGAUAGUAGCUUUUCUUAUGUUGGUAGUAGCUUUUGUUUAUUUCGGUAGUAGCUUUUGUAUAUAGGGGUAGUAGCUUUUUGUUUAUCUCGGUAGUAGCUUUGUUGACGGUGAUAGUAGUUUUUCUUAUGUUGGUAGUACCCUUUGUUUAUAGCGGUAGUAGCUUUUGUAGCUGGUGGUAGUAGCUUUUGUAGGCGGUGGUAAUAGCUUUUGUAGCUGGUGGUAGUAGUUUUUGUGUUCGUCGGAAACCUCACAGUAGUAGCUUUUGUAGGUGGUGGUAGUAGCUUUUGUAGCUUGUGGUAGUAGUUUUUGUGGCUGGUGGUAGUAGCUUUUGUGUUCAUCGGAAACCUCACAGUAGUAUCUUUUGUAGGCGGUGGUAGUAGUUUUUAUAGCUGGUAGUAGUAAUUUUUAUCAUCGUCGGAGGUCGGCCGGAAACCUCGCCGGAGGUCGGUCGGAAAUCUCGCCGGAGGUCGGCCGGAAACCUAGCCGGAGGUCGGUCGGAAACCUCGCCGGAGGUCCGCAUGAAACCUCGCCGGAGGUCCGCUGGAAAUCUCACCGGAGGUCCGUGGGAGACUGUUCCGAAAUGAGAGUGGUUGUUGACUUUUUAUACUAGUGGCAUUCUUGUAAAUAUAAGGGAGAAAAUCUAAUUUUUUUUGUUGGAUGGCAGUCUGUAAUUAUGUUGAACUUCAAUACUUAAUACAAAACCUUAUUUAGACUUGGGUGGACUUAUGUGGGUAAAAAUGUUAGGGUGGAUCUAUGUGGGAAAAAAUGUCUCAAAGUGGACUUAUAUGUAAUUGGCCCUUAAUUUUAUUGGUUCAAGUAUUUUAUCUUUAUCUCUGAUUGGUGUAUUUAAUUACUUUUAUUGUUGGUGUGGCUUUUUGGAAGAAAAUUUGGAAGGUUAACAUUCCAAAUGGAGCUGAGGUAAAUAUAUGGCGUGUAGGCCAUAAUAUUCUCCCCACAUUGGAAAGACUUCAGUCAAAACAUGUGCCUUUAGAAUCGGUGAUAUGCUUGCUUUGUGCUCAGGAAACAGAAUCUACAAUCCAUCUUUGUCGUGACUGUCCUUUCACUUGUCCAACAACAUCUUAUCUCAGGUUUGUUUGAAUCCAUUAACGCUUCAUUUAAACCUGUUGGAAUGGUUAAACGAAUGCUCUCAAAACUUAUCUUCUUCUAUAUAUGCUUGGAGAAUUGAUAUUUUUAUUGUGGGGUAUUUGGAAGGAAAGAAAUAAUAGAGUCUGGGAUGGAAAGAAUGGCACAGCUUUGGAUGUAGUCUUUAGUUCUAUGACUAGAUUGAAUGACUUUCAGUCUGUGAUAAUUAAACCUAGAGGCAUGGGAAAAGGGAGGAUUGUGAGGGCUAGCUGGAAGCCUCCACCUCAUGGUAUUGCGAAAAUAAAUGUGGAUGGGUCAUUCAUUUCGGAAACACACAGUGGUAGCACAAGUUUUGUGAUAAGGGACAAUUCGAGUUCAUUUUUGGCGUGUGGAGGGCAAGCGUAUAAGGGUGUGGUUUCUGCUGAGCAUGUUGAAGUUUUGGUAUGCAGACAGGCUAUUGUUUUUGCUAUUGCAAAUAAUUUUCAGCCGGUCAUAAUAGAGACUGAUGCACAGGUGGUAUAUUUGCAGUUAAUAAACCACCAUCAAGCUAAUCCUUUUGUUUUGGGAAGACUUUAUGAUGAUAUUGGGAGUACGAUUCAAGAUUCAGGCUCUGUGAGGAUCAUGCAUACCAAAAGAUCUACAAAUAGGGUGGCACAUCUGAUGGCAGGACACUCUAAAACUCUAGUUAGAGAAACUUUUUACUUUUCUGUUCCCUCUUUUCUUCAGAAUGCAAUAGCAACUGAAAGAUCUUCCAUGUAGUUUUUAUUAUUUAUCAAUAAAGUAUGGCCUCUUUUAUUAAAAAAAAAAUAAUUACUUUACUUUUUUUUUUUCACCCUAUGCUGGUCCCCACAUGAAUCUGAGUUAUAUGAUUGGUUAAGAACAUCACAUGACAGUGUCACGUACAGAGAAUAAUUACUCAAGGACUUAUAAGAUGCAAGGGUUGAACAAUAAAAUUAAGACAUUAUACUUAUUAUCCACACAUAAAAUUAAACAACUUCCGCAAAUAACAUAUUAUUAGUAUCUAAAAAAUAAUAAUAAAAAAAUUGAUCACUGGCAUUAGUAUCUUAAAAAAAAAAAUUAAAAAACCUUCACAUUAUUAUUAGCAUAUUAAAAUUAAUAGAGGGUACUUUAGGUAUAAAAGUUGAUUCCUGAUAGUAUCAUUCCUAAACCCAUCUCCCUCCUUAAUAUUACAAUUCCGGGUUAUUAAGGAAUCAAUUCCUUGUUAGAUGGUGGGACCCACACUCAUUCUGAUUUCAUUAUGUGCAAGUAAAAACAAAAAUAAUAAUUAUUCCAUCACUUUUCAAUUUCAUUCCAGAUAAGUAAAUGUGCCCUUAUUAUUUGAGACUCUUUGGUUAUGGGAAUUGGGAAUUCAUAGUGCAUGUUUCAAAGGAGGUAAGAGUCGAAUCACUUUUGAGGGUGAUCAAGUCAAGAAGAUGCAACUUAUAAGAACAUAAGUUAAAAUUCCCUUUUGGUAUGAAGAAUAUUGUAGUUGCAACUCAUGUAGAAUUAGAUCAACAAUGAUUUCAAGUAAUUUUAUGCAUUUUUAUAUAUUAAAAGGUACAUUGUAGAACUUCCCGUAACAUUUUAACGAUAAUUUCACAUAAUAAAGACAUUCAUCGCUAUACAAUAAUUUUUGAAUGACUAGCCCACAUAUCUCGUUUAAGCUCAUAUGAACGGUACUGAACACGAGCAAUUUGGUAGUUUAGACUUCAGCAGAAAUUUGCAUGAUACCCUCUCUACCUAAUGUAGUCUUAGAAGUUAGAGUGAAUGCAACGCCAACAACACGGGAAAUAAGGCAAUCACAAACAGUGCACUCUCUUUGCAAUGCUAUCAAACCCCAAAUCGUCCAUCCACCCUUCCCUUGUCCAACACAGUUGUUUGAUCCUGCAUUAAUGCUAUCAGAAGUAUGCGAACAUUGUUUUCUUUUUUCGUUUCUGAUCUUCUCAUUCAGUUUACGUAGGGUUGGGAGUUACUUUCUCAUUCACUCAGUUAUGCAAGAAGCUAAAAAAAAACCCUCAAUUAGGUGAAUUUUGAGGUGCAUGUAGGGGUUAGCGGUGCCUGUAAUGGCAAUCGGUGUGUGUAUGUUUUGUCAAUUGUUGUAAAUUAUGUCAAUUGUAACUUUAUCAUCCCACAUUGUGCGCCCUCACUGCCGUGGGUCAUUUUUGUAUUCUGUUUGUUGUAUAACGACUUGUAUGACUUGUAUCAUAACAUGUUUGCUUAAUUACCCAGAUAAACAUAAACUCAUUGAAGCCAGAUGUCAUGUAAAUUCGCAAAAACGAAUGACAUCUGAUCUUAUAAUAUAUAACUCUCUUCCUAGUUGAUUGAUCAUAACAAAAAAAAAAGUUUCUUAAAACAAUGUCACCUUAUAUGCAACACUAAAUGACACUGGUUUUCUUGUUAACAAAAUAGUUGUAUAGAAUCACUGGCGCCUUCAUCCUCUUUGGGAGGGGACGCCCCACAGGAACUAUAUCUGUAGGAGAUCUUCUCCUACUUAUUUUGUUUUCCUUUUUUCGUUUGGCUGAGAUUUUGAGCUGAUUGCUUUUGGAAACCAUGUCGUUUUACAAAUAUUGAAUCCCCUUGUGUGCAGGUGAGCCACAAAACAAACAUACAAUACUCAAAUGUGUUGGAAAAUUUGGGUCGAUGGAUGUUAAUAACGCUACCAGAUUUUGUCACCUACAAAAUCAUACAAAUAUAUGAUAUUAUUAACAAAUAAUAUUACUUAUAAUUAUGCCAAAAUAACUAGAAAACAACAAAAUAUAAAUACUAAUCUUUGAUUAUGAAGUCUGCGUCAAAAACUUGAUCUGGUAAAUGUUUAAGGUUGAGACGUGUAAACAGUGCUCUUAAGAGUAGAUUUCGCCCUCGGAGACAAUAUCUCGGUGUAGCAGGUUUAUGGCGACCUACCCUCCAAGGUACAACAACCGUUAAUCUUUGUAAGCGUACACUCGCAAUACUUGGAUCCUAGAACCGCCUGAUAACUCUUUGGUAUAACACAUAAUAUAGUUGGACUCACAAGAGGAAUGACUAGGGAGAAAAAAGAAUAGAGAAUAGGAUGAAUAUUCCAUUGUGUAUAUAUUGAAAAGCUUGACAUGAAGAGUAUAUAUAGUAGUGUAUGAGAAGAUAUAAUCAUGAUAGAAAAAAGGCUUGCAACUGACAACAUUCAAAUCAUGAAGUUAAGGAGAAUAACGGACAAAUAGAAAAUGAAGGAAUAAAUUUGAUUGAGUAUUGUAACCUACCACAAUUGCCAUAAACUCAUGUAACUGAAAAUAUUUAUGGCAACGAAUAACCAUUUAAAUGUAACAUUUGAAUCAAGUUGGAUAAGAGACACUAAACACAAGUAUUUUGAAAUAUCACAUCAAAAAUUCCAAUAAUCCUCCACAUAUUUCAAAAUACGGAAAUUCUAACAAAAUGAGAGAACUAGAAGAGUGCCAAAGGAGAGUGAGAGUACAAUGCAUCUGAAUUGGUGUCUUUUCGACUAUGAACCAGCCAUAGGAUAAGAUAGCUAUGACCAAGUAUUAAAAUAUCUGUAUCGGCAUAUCUAUCGGUACUUUGAAAAAAGGAGAUAUCGGAUAUAUCGGGGAUAUAUCAGAGAUAUUGGGGAAAAAAUAUCAGAAAUUCGGGAAGAAUUUUUUUCUAAAAUAUUUAAUUUAUUGUAUUUACUUAUAAAUUGUACAAACAUCAACUUCAUCUAUAUCUAGAAGAAGACUCCAAGUGGUUGAAAAGAAGUACGGUGGUCUACAAAAGUAUAGUAUUCAGACCAAAACAUAUAACCCUAAGAAUUGUAUUGUUGAAUAUGAUAGUCGUAUAUCUCUUUGGAGCUACUAACUGUUCCCCUUAUAUCUCUUUUCGAAUAUUGUUGAUGGUGAUUCUUGUUUACACCGAAAUUUUUUACAUAUAUUUCUUUAAUAUAUCAGAGAUUUAUCGUAGAUUUCCUAAAUAUUGGAGAUAUUGACGGAAUCAGAGAAAUUUGACAGAAUCUGAGAUAUUUGACGGAAUCGGAGAUAUUUGACGGAAUCGGAGAAAUUUGAUGAAUGGAAUUGGAGAAAUUUGACUGAAUCGGAGAAAUUUGACAGAAUCUGAGAAAUUUGACGGAAUCGGAGAUAUUUAACGGAAUUGGAGAAAUUUGACGGAAUCAAAGAAAUUUGACUGAAUCGGUGAUAUUUGACGGAAUCGAUGGAAGAUAAGAUAUUUACCCCUCUAGAUAUAUUGGUCACUCCAAAAAAGGAGAUAUCGGUGGAUAUAUCAGAUAUAUCACAGAGAUUUUAAUCGUUGGCUAUGACACAAAAAUUUGGUGAAAAUGAAAUUUUCUAUAAACCAUAAUUUCUAGAUGUGCAUCGGAGAGCUACUAUCCACAUUGAACCUCUAUCAAGCUUAUCAUGUGGGUGGGCACGAAUAGGCCAUGCGCCCCUACCUGGAUAUUCACGAGUGCUCUAGAAGACUUGCCCAAGUCUCAUAGGAAGCGGCCCCACUUCCACACUGAUAUAGGUGAGUCCAUUAAGUGUGUACUGGAAUCGAACAUACGACCCAAAUGUAAGGGCUAUGGUACUCAUUAAGAACAAAGUUCAUCCUUAUACGUUUCAGUUAAAGCAUUAUCUUUACACCAUAGGGAUAGACUCUAAAUUUUUAAUUUGAUAGUGCACCACCGAUCAACAAGUGACUUGUUAUUACCCAUAUGAACCUACUUCAUGGGAUCUCCAAUCACAUAAGUUGGGUUAUCAUCACUCUUGACCUUUGUUAUAGGCAUAAGUCUCAUCCCCCUUGAUGUACUAACCACUAGCUUUGGUCUUUAGUGUAGUGGUUGUAAGAGUAUCCGCCAAAAUCAACUUUCACAUAUGAAACUUAUUGAAUAUUCUUGAGAAUAAGUAAUCACAAUUGGAUUCUCAGUUAUCCAAUAUCAUUGGACCAUAAGAGCCAACCUUUCCUUGUUUUUCUUUGACCCCCACAUUUUUGGGUAUGACUGAAAGCCAUAAACUCAUAUAUACUGACACAAUAGUACGUAUCAACCACAUUUAUUUAGGUAACUAUCUUGGCGUGUACCAAUGUGUACCUUUAGAUGACCUAUGUCACCCCCACAUUUGAGCCAUCAAAUUUCGAAUAUAUAAUUGUUUUGAGGCAAGAUUCACUGCAAGACAACAUAAAUUCGAAAGGCAACCAAAAAUCUUUAGGGCAACAUACCGAGCCAAUUAUGUGAGCAAAUACCGAGUAACCCACUAUAUAUAAUUAGGCAACUGUAUUACUGGUAACCAUAUCCUCAAGGCAAUCAUACCUAUUUUCCUUCAAUCAUAAAAACCAAUGUUAGUUCAGUGUACGUAGUAAUAACACACAACAUAAAUUAUAAUUACCGUAUGCAUUACUAAGAAAUAAUUCUCCGUUUUAAUACUUACUCAUAUAGCAUUCAAACUAAUGAUACUAAGCAAAUAAUAUAAUGAUCAAGCAUGCAUGGUGGCAAUUAUAUAAUACGAGAGCCCAAACAUAAUUCAUCAAUAAAUAAAUUAAAAGCAACAUUUUUGAGUCUAGAAGAAAAUAUUAAGUAAUAUAGGAGACUAGUAGUAGAAGACUUAUCUUUAUAUCAAAGUUUCUACCAUAAAGCUAGGAAACAUCCAACAACGAUGUCUACUCUUAAGAUUGUUGGAAAAUUUGGGUCGAUGGAUGUUAAUAACGCCACCAGAUUUUGUCACCUACAAAAUCAUAAAAAUAUAUGAUAUUAUUAACAAAUAAUAUUACUUAUAAUUAUGCCGAAAUAACUAGAAAACUGUUGUAAAACGAAAGGGAAUAGAUUGAGAAAGGAGAGAAACAACCAAGAGAAUGAGAGAAUAUGUGUGUAUUAUUGAGUAGGGAAUCAUCUCUUAUAUAGAGAUGUAAUCAGUAUGUAAAUUACAUGAAUAUCCCUAGUAAGCUAAUUUACAAGAAUGCCCAUUCAAUAAAUUAUUUACAACACUCCCCCUUGGGUAUUCUCUGUUAUUAGCUUCAUUUGAUAUGUGCUUUAGUGUUGCCUCGUCAAAACCUUGCCAGGUAAUAAAAACCUUAUGGGACAAAAACAAUCCUGGUCGAAGGAAAAAAGAGUACAACGCAUAUGUAGUGGUGGUAGUCAGAACCCUUGAUUUCGGUGAAGCGGUUUAGUCUGGAUCAUAAAAUGUGAGUCCGUGGGAGAUGGAUGUAUAAUAGUUACUACACCAAAACCUUGUCCGGUAAACCCAGUGGGACAAACCCGUGGUCGAAGGGAAAAGAUGAGCAAAUGCAUAUAUUUCAAAUAAAGACAUAUUCAAGAUAAAGUAUGAGUAGGGUGACCAAUUUAAUGUGUGCCUCAUUAAAACCUUGCCAGGUAACAAAACCCAGUGGGACAAAAUAACCCUGGACGAAGGACAAAAGAGUACACAAUGGUCAAGAGUAUGCUUCAAGAUACUCCCCCUAAUAUUGACUCCUCCUGAAAACUACACACAAGGUAAAACUACUACAUUGAUCAUGCUUCUUGAAUAAUUUAAUAGUCAACAUGACUUAAAGAGGUUUUUGUUUCAUAUACCUCUAAGAUUAUUGUAUUCCCUAUAGUAAAGACAUAACUAGUCGGGAAUAAGCCUUGUGUCGGUUCACAUAACUCAUGUCAGCAUAUUUAAUAAGGCAAACAUUAUUCCAAGGAUCAUAGGCGGUUGAUUCAUUUCAUGAUGCCUAGGGAUAGAAUGAGCCCUUUUUCCAUCAUACAUUUAAAGUAACGGAAAAUUGUUUUUAUGCCAUUUACGGAGACGGCGUGUUAGCGCAGAGCUAUAUCUAGCAAACAAAUUCACAUCGGGUGAGAUGUUCGAUCUAGGACAUUUAGCCAAGUACAAUAAUGCGCAUAUUGUACUUAGAUAUGAGUCUUCUAGUCCCAAUAUCUCUUCGUUAUCAUCUGCACGAUGAUACGAGUCUCACUAGAUUUCAGACGAUUAUGAGUGAGUUUGAAGACUUUGCUUUAUCCUCAUUAAAACAUCUUAACAUCUUCUAGAUGUAAUUUGAUUGAUUGACUAAAAUUCUAUUUGCACUUUGCAUUGCAUGACUCUAGAUCGAGAAAAUGAUUUGGUCUCUGAAAGUCUUUUUAUCUCAAACUCCGACUUCAGGUGUUUUAUGGUUUUCUUGAUCUCUUCAAGAGUAUCAAUCAAGUUCAUGCUAUUGACGUAGAUCACCAAAAAUUGCAAACCCGAAGUUUGUUUUCUUAAUAAACACGCAUGGGCAUAGACCAUUGUUCAUAUAUCCCAUCCCAAGCAAAUAUUCACUCAGACGCUUAUACCAACUCCGUCUGGAUUGUUUGAACCUAAAGUGAACUACUCUAGCAAAUGAAGAGCAUGUUCUGUGGUCUAGAACUAUUUGCAUUGGGUAACAGAAGUCCUUCAGGAACCUUCAUGUAUAUCUCUAUAUUCACAUCCCCAUAGAGAUAAAUUGUUACCACAUUCAUAAGCUGCUUAUUCAGUUAUUUGGAAACUACCAAACUGAUAAGGUAGUGGAACGUUAUGACGUCCAUUACAGAAAAAUACGUUUCCUCAUAAUCAAUCACAGGGCGUUGAGAAAAUCCUUGCACCAUUAGAACCAUUAGAAGAGUCUUAUAUAUCACAAUCUCAUUUUUCUCAUUAUGCUUCCUUACAAGUACCCAUUAAACUCUAUAUGUUUAACAUGGGGAGGUGUGGGAACAACAGGCCCAUAACACUUUUCUCUAAGUUAAAGAAUCUAAUAUGACAUAGAUUGUUUCUUUCCUUUUUAGCUAGUCGUCUCUUCGUUGAGAUCUAUCAACGAAGCAAGGUUUGACAUAAUCGCUUAUUAUAAUUUCGGUGGCCACCGCAAAUACAAACAUAUCAUCGAUGAACUCUCAUUCCGAUUCAAUAUCUCAUUAAAUUUACCAAGAUUUUCUAUUCUCGAGAGUGGGUUUAAAUGUUGGAGCGUCCCCCAACUUCCUCUCUUCUAGGACGAACCCAUAAUCUGGAUUAAUCUCGUGAGUUGAAUUAGUUUGAGAUUGCGAUGGCAAGAAGAUUCAUUUGUGCCAAGUUUACCCUCUUCUAGGGAUAAGAAUCGUUCGAACCUAAUGGUCUACCUCACUUCUGGGUAAGGACUAUGACUGGUUAGCCGCCAUGGCUGUACCUCAUCCAACUGGAACGACAUGUCCUACGAGGAUGUUUAUCCUUGCAGGCACAUUUGCAGCAGGUAUAUAUGAUCUCAUAACUUUAUUUAGUCUAGCAUAUUUUUGGGCUACACUACAUAGAUCCAGAAUUCUUUGCACUUCAAUAUCACAUGUGUGGUUUGGGGAUGAGGAUGAGACAUAGUGGAUAUUUUUCACGUCAAUUCACGUCGUUCAUCAAGAAUGAUGACCUUCUUAUCUCCCCCUAACAACAGGAAGACUGUCUCAUCAAAGUGACAAUCCACAAAUCUAGCUAUAUAGAGAUUGCUUGUCAAGGGCUCUAAGGAGCACAUAAUGGAUAGGGUUCAUAAUCGACAUAUAUGCCCAUCCUUUGUUGAGGACCCGAUUUUGUACGUUGUGGCGGCACAAUUGGCACAGGGAUUGCAAACCCAAAUACGUGUAAGUGCAAACAUCAGAUUCGCACCCAGUCACCAACUGUAACACGAAGUAAGACGGGUAGCAGUGGGCCUCAACUAGACCGACAUGACUGCAUGUAAGAUUGCAUGACCCGACGCAAACACUAGAAACUUGGUGCGCGUUACCAAAGUUCUACCUGCGAGAUCAUCUUGGGUGUGAACAUAAAAAACUAUAUGUUCAACAGAUCCAAAGGGAUAUGCAAUAAUCAUCGGAAGUCAUCAAUGUAAACUCUCCGGCAUUACCAAGCCUUAUAGACUUUAUAAGAUAAUCCGACUGGUGUACCCUAAAUUUCAUCGGUGGGAGUUUGGCAAACGCAGCAUUUUCUUGUGGACAAUAGUUUGACAUGUGAUCAUUUUUGUCAAUGCAUCAACCAAAACCAUUAAUAUUUAACUGGUCCGUAUGGUGGUUGGAUAGGUCCACGUAUUUUCCUUUGCAUUCAGUGCAUAAAGAGAUAGUGUAUAUUCUAGUCUUUGCAUAUGAUAGUCUAGUAUUCAACAUUCUUAACGAGCAGCUUGACAUAAUGUGUCAUUAAAGACAAGACCCUUAUUCUGAGGGGGAUGCCCGUGUGAUAAUUAAGUUGAGGAUAAGGUGUAUUAUGUCUUUCCCGGGUGCAUCAAAACCAAUUCUAUAGCUAGUAUCUGCUCGAAUCAUUUAGCUUCUAGCUAAUAAAUUUGAAUGUAUUCAAUGUAUGCUUCUAGCCGCACAUUCAAAGGUUAUGCAAAGAUAUUACACCAUUUUUCUGGUGGUUUCAAUGUUUUAAGCAUUGGUUUCAAUCUUACCUUUCGAUAACAUUCUUUUGAAACGUAGAGGUAUUUUGCCUCGUCAGCCAGACGAGAACGCUCAGUUCUUUAAUAUUGAUAACACAUAUCAAUAUUGAAUUAGAUUCUAGGGCAACAAGCCUUUUCAUUUCAAUAUUCUCUAAUUAUAUCUUGCUUCAGGUAAGGAAGAUGUCUAGUUCAGAUUGUUUCUUUUGGAGACUACAAAUUAACAUGAUAAAAGCUACCGAUUUUUUCAUGUCUGGUGAAUUUUAGAAUGAAACUUUAAGUUUCUUAAGGGGAUUAUUAUCGAAACUACAAGUUUGAUUUAUACAUGAACUACUGGUUCAUUUCUGAACUACCGGUUCAUUAGGUAUAUGUAUUUUCAAGUUAUAAUCAUGUAACAAUUGAUGAUAUUAAUUUCACGCUACUAAUUUAGCAUAGUGAAUAUGUUACGUAAUUAUGUGUAAAUGCUUCUGACAAUUAACUACAUAUUAAAUAUGGUGAAUAUAUUAAUAACAACCAUUAUGAGAAAGUAUUUGGAGUGCUUUAUAGAUAUACAUAAUGACUAGGUACGAAAAAACCAGUGUUAUUAGAUUAUUUUCCUUUUGUUUGAUUCUACUGGACCAAAGGAAUUGACUUUAAUUAAAGUGAAAGAAAUAAACCUCUACAUACUUUACAAGCCUACGGGGCACAAUCUGAGAGGUAUGUUGGGAGAGUGGGUCUACUAGGCUCAGAAUGGUCUGUCAAGAAAUGCAAUGUUAUUAGUCAACCCUUUCGGUAACUCCAAUUGUAUACGACCUGGUAUAACGUUUAUGUAAUAAUCGCGUAAUUAAAACUCAAAACUCAUGCUUCUAGCAUAAGGGAUUAUAAUGACAUAAUUUAAAUUGGUAUAACCGAAGAUUAAACUCAUAACGUCUAUCGUAAUUUGCACAAUAAUUUGACCCACAAUGCUUGUACCAUAAUAUAUGGGUUAUAAUUUGGUAAAUGCUUUCGGCAUUACAUGCCCUUAAAUGACAUUGAAUUUAACACAAUUCAAAUCUAUAACUAACAAAACUUAUAUAUUAAGUCACAAUUAAGUAAUAUAAUCAGUGCUACAUGUCAGUAUACAAAUGACGUUACAUUUCUAAAUGGAUUUUAUUCAAACCUCAUUAUGAGCAAUGUUAAUUUGUAUCACUAAAUGCUUCAGGCAUAAAUAUUCCAUAUAUGUAACCGUUGGUAUAAAUGACAAAAUUAAUGGUCCUACAUUACCGGUUACAUGCAUUACUUCUAGAAUGCAUUCACGCUCUUGUGUUCAAAUGUCAGGGAAUUAUAGUGGAUCUGAAGUUCGUUCAUCCAUGCGCCUUUUGGUAUGCACUACUAGGCAUGCGAUUACAUUACCAGAAGAAAGACUUUAGCCGACGAAAAUAAAAAAACCAGGCCGACGAAUUAUUUUUUCGUCGGCUAAAGUGGACUUUAGCAGACAAAAUUUCCCUUCGUCGGCUAAUUAAAAAUUUUCGUCGGCUAUGGUCAACUUUAGCCGACGAAAUUAAAAUUUCGUAGUCUGAAUAAUUUUUUUCGUCGGCUAUAGUCUAUGAACUUUAACCGACGAAAUUUUUAAAAGUUUAGCCGACGAAAAAUAUAAUUUCGUCGGCUAAAGUGCCUUAAUUUCAUCGGCUAAAGUGCCUUAUAUUUACAGAUCUGGACAACAACUCAUCUGGGAAAAAAAAACUAUACGUAGAACCUUCAAACGCAAAAAAGUCAUGAAAUAAGAUAUGACUAAAAUGGUGAAAUACGUCUACAGUUGAAAAAUCACUGUAUUCUGGUAAAGUCUCGGUGCCGAUAGUUGCGGUCAAUGCAAUUUACCCUUAUUAUUCACUAUGCUGCAUAUUUGGUUUUUGGUGUCCGAUUGACUAUUGUGAUACCUUUCCGGAAGCGUAACGGCCCUACGAGUCAAACUCAUCGCUUUGCCAUGACAUAUGAGCCUUUUUGGCUAUCCGAGUCCGUUUAGGGCUUCAAAAUGCAGUUUUCUUAUUUCAGAUUAGAGUUGACCGUUUCGAUCGAGCCCUUAACGUUGUCGAAUCCAGUUGAAUUUUUUACCAUAGACAUCUUUCGUCAUAAUGAUCAUAUUGGACUGUCGAAUUUUGGUUUGUAAAUUUUAGUCAUCGGAAUCACAACGUGUCUACUAUUUACAGUUAUUAUUCCCUAUGGGGAGCCCUAUCGUCGGAAGGUAAAUGUCUCAAAAUUUUUAUAUGGGCAGUUGCGUCUCAUCUACGUGAGAGUUUUUUGUGUGGAAGGUUUGACCAAACCACGUAAUAUAGAGGGAGAUAUGAGCGUUUUCGUGUGAUAAGUGACGAUGGAUUAGGGUUAACUGUUUCGAUCGAGUCCUUAACGUUGUCGGAUGCAGUUGAAUUUUUUACCAUAGACAUCUUUUGUCAUAAUGAUCAUAUCUGACGAUCGAAUUUUGGUUUGUGAAUUUUAGUCAUCGGAAUCACAACGUGUCUACUAAUGUUGUAUAACUUGUUUAGUAGGUUAUACAACUUUGUGAAACAACUCUAUAAAGGAAGCAAAAUUAUCAAAAACCCGUGAAAUAAGAUGUGUUCAGAAUGGUGAAAUACGGCUAUGGUUCAAAAAUCACGUAAAUCGGGUAAAGUCUCGGUGCCGAUAGUAGCGGUCAACCCUAUUUACUGUUAUUAUUCCCUAUGGGGAGCCCUAUCGUCGGAAGGCAAAUGUCUCAAAAUUUUUAUAUAGGAGGUUGUGUCUCAUCUACGUGAAAGUUUUUCGUGUGGAAGGUUUGACCAAACUACGUAAUAUAGAGGGAGAUAUGAGCGUUUUCGUGAAUUUAUAGACUUUAGCCGACGAGAUAUUAAAAAAGUCGUCGGCUAAGGUCAAAAAUUUUUGGGUGGUAAACCAAAUUUGGAGGAAAAUUUUCAUAGGACUUUAGCUGACGAAAAUAUAUGAAAAGUCGUCGGCUAAAGUCGAAAAAUUUUCAAAAUUUUCAACCAAAAUUUUCAAAAUUUUCAAAAGAAUUUAGCCGACGAAAAUAAAGAAUUUCGUCGGCUAAAGUUCUUUAUAUAGGAGUUUUACCGAAGGUGGAUGGUAAGAAGUCUAUUUCGCCUGCUAGAUUUUCUUCUCGGCUUAGCUCCGCCGUCAAGCCAUCGGAGACCGCCACACUUGUCCCAAAAGCUUCGCCGUCGACUCUACUUUAUUGCUGGACAGGUGGUGCAUCGAGUGGUGCCGCCGUGAGAGAUAAAUCGAGCUCCAAAACUUCGCCGGUUCUGAUUCGGUGUCGACCGAAUUUCUCCUUCCUCAGGUCACCAUUUGGUGAGUUCUAUAUAUGGAUAAGUUGAGUUUGAUUAGUACUACAUUCCCCUAGAAUUUGGUAGCUCGAUUCGGUGUNNNNNNNNNNNNNNNNNNNNNNNNNNNNNNNNNNNNNNNNNNNNNNNNNNNNNNNNNNNNNNNNNNNNNNNNNNNNNNNNNNNNNNNNNNNNNNNNNNNNNNNNNNNNNNNNNNNNNNNNNNNNNNNNNNNNNNNNNNNNNNNNNNNNNNNNNNNNNNNNNNNNNNNNNNNNNNNNNNNNNNNNNNNNNNNNNNNNNNNNNNNNNNNNNNNNNNNNNNNNNNNNNNNNNNNNNNNNNNNNNNNNNNNNNNNNNNNNNNNNNNNNNNNNNNNNNNNNNNNNNNNNNNNNNNNNNNNNNNNNNNNNNNNNNNNNNNNNNNNNNNNNNNNNNNNNNNNNNNNNNNNNNNNNNNNNNNNNNNNNNNNNNNNNNNNNNNNNNNNNNNNNNNNNNNNNNNNNNNNNNNNNNNNNNNNNNNNNNNNNNNNNNNNNNNNNNNNNNNNNNNNNNNNNNNNNNNNNNNNNNNNNNNNNNNNNNNNNNNNNNNNNNNNNNNNNNNNNNNNNNNNNNNNNNNNNNNNNNNNNNNNNNNNNNNNNNNNNNNNNNNNNNNNNNNNNNNNNNNNNNNNNNNNNNNNNNNNNNNNNNNNNNNNNNNNNNNNNNNNNNNNNNNNNNNNNNNNNNNNNNNNNNNNNNNNNNNNNNNNNNNNNNNNNNNNNNNNNNNNNNNNNNNNNNNNNNNNNNNNNNNNNNNNNNNNNNNNNNNNNNNNNNNNNNNNNNNNNNNNNNNNNNNNNNNNNNNNNNNNNNNNNNNNNNNNNNNNNNNNNNNNNNNNNNNNNNNNNNNNNNNNNNNNNNNNNNNNNNNNNNNNNNNNNNNNNNNNNNNNNNNNNNNNNNNNNNNNNNNNNNNNNNNNNNNNNNNNNNNNNNNNNNNNNNNNNNNNNNNNNNNNNNNNNNNNNNNNNNNNNNNNNNNNNNNNNNNNNNNNNNNNNNNNNNNNNNNNNNNNNNNNNNNNNNNNNNNNNNNNNNNNNNNNNNNNNNNNNNNNNNNNNNNNNNNNNNNNNNNNNNNNNNNNNNNNNNNNNNNNNNNNNNNNNNNNNNNNNNNNNNNNNNNNNNNNNNNNNNNNNNNNNNNNNNNNNNNNNNNNNNNNNNNNNNNNNNNNNNNNNNNNNNNNNNNNNNNNNNNNNNNNNNNNNNNNNNNNNNNNNNNNNNNNNNNNNNNNNNNNNNNNNNNNNNNNNNNNNNNNNNNNNNNNNNNNNNNNNNNNNNNNNNNNNNNNNNNNNNNNNNNNNNNNNNNNNNNNNNNNNNNNNNNNNNNNNNNNNNNNNNNNNNNNNNNNNNNNNNNNNNNNNNNNNNNNNNNNNNNNNNNNNNNNNNNNNNNNNNNNNNNNNNNNNNNNNNNNNNNNNNNNNNNNNNNNNNNNNNNNNNNNNNNNNNNNNNNNNNNNNNNNNNNNNNNNNNNNNNNNNNNNNNNNNNNNNNNNNNNNNNNNNNNNNNNNNNNNNNNNNNNNNNNNNNNNNNNNNNNNNNNNNNNNNNNNNNNNNNNNNNNNNNNNNNNNNNNNNNNNNNNNNNNNNNNNNNNNNNNNNNNNNNNNNNNNNNNNNNNNNNNNNNNNNNNNNNNNNNNNNNNNNNNNNNNNNNNNNNNNNNNNNNNNNNNNNNNNNNNNNNNNNNNNNNNNNNNNNNNNNNNNNNNNNNNNNNNNNNNNNNNNNNNNNNNNNNNNNNNNNNNNNNNNNNNNNNNNNNNNNNNNNNNNNNNNNNNNNNNNNNNNNNNNNNNNNNNNNNNNNNNNNNNNNNNNNNNNNNNNNNNNNNNNNNNNNNNNNNNNNNNNNNNNNNNNNNNNNNNNNNNNNNNNNNNNNNNNNNNNNNNNNNNNNNNNNNNNNNNNNNNNNNNNNNNNNNNNNNNNNNNNNNNNNNNNNNNNNNNNNNNNNNNNNNNNNNNNNNNNNNNNNNNNNNNNNNNNNNNNNNNNNNNNNNNNNNNNNNNNNNNNNNNNNNNNNNNNNNNNNNNNNNNNNNNNNNNNNNNNNNNNNNNNNNNNNNNNNNNNNNNNNNNNNNNNNNNNNNNNNNNNNNNNNNNNNNNNNNNNNNNNNNNNNNNNNNNNNNNNNNNNNNNNNNNNNNNNNNNNNNNNNNNNNNNNNNNNNNNNNNNNNNNNNNNNNNNNNNNNNNNNNNNNNNNNNNNNNNNNNNNNNNNNNNNNNNNNNNNNNNNNNNNNNNNNNNNNNNNNNNNNNNNNNNNNNNNNNNNNNNNNNNNNNNNNNNNNNNNNNNNNNNNNNNNNNNNNNNNNNNNNNNNNNNNNNNNNNNNNNNNNNNNNNNNNNNNNNNNNNNNNNNNNNNNNNNNNNNNNNNNNNNNNNNNNNNNNNNNNNNNNNNNNNNNNNNNNNNNNNNNNNNNNNNNNNNNNNNNNNNNNNNNNNNNNNNNNNNNNNNNNNNNNNNNNNNNNNNNNNNNNNNNNNNNNNNNNNNNNNNNNNNNNNNNNNNNNNNNNNNNNNNNNNNNNNNNNNNNNNNNNNNNNNNNNNNNNNNNNNNNNNNNNNNNNNNNNNNNNNNNNNNNNNNNNNNNNNNNNNNNNNNNNNNNNNNNNNNNNNNNNNNNNNNNNNNNNNNNNNNNNNNNNNNNNNNNNNNNNNNNNNNNNNNNNNNNNNNNNNNNNNNNNNNNNNNNNNNNNUUUUUUUUUUUUUUUUUUUUUUUUUUUUGAAUCAAAGACUUUAGAAUUUUAUUGAACCAGAUUAAGAGCUACAAGAAGAGGAGGCUAGUAGCCCCUGCAUUUCGGCUGGAAGGGGACCAACCCAACUCACCGAAUUAGCACUGUGAAGAGUUAGUUUAGCUAAUUUGUGAGCAACCAAAUUAGACUCCCUAAAAACAUGAGAAAAGAAAGAAGAAUUUAACUCUGCAAGUUCAUGUUGUAUAUCUGCUACAAUAACACCAAACCCGGAAUCAUCUUCUUCUUGCUGUUUCGUAGCUUGUACUAGUUUCAGACAAUCUGAUUCAAAAACCACUGGGAAGAGAUGCAUCUCUUUAGCUAAUUCACAAGCCAUACGGCUUGCCAUAGCCUCUACAAUCUCCGGAGAAGUCACAUGAGCAAUACAACAGUACUUGUUAGACCAUAAUUUACACAUGUUUAUAUUCCCCUAAACUUUGACUUUAACUUAUUUUUGAGUUCAUUUUAGCUUUCACUAAAUCAUUUAUCUAUUUAUCUAGGUAAAAUGCAAGAGUGAAGGAAAGAUUGAUUUUUGGUAUCAAUAUCAAGAAUCGGAGUUAAGAAGAAUUGUGGUUUAAUGUGGAGCGAAACGUAAAUUUUCGGAUUCCGGCGAACCACCACUAUUGGUGGCACAAAUGGCGGUGCACCACCACUUAAGGUGGUGCCAUAGCUUUUCCAAUCAUCAUAUAGGAAGAGCAAGGAGAAGAAUGGUGAUUGAGUAACAACAUGAAAUUCAUUCUAUUUCUCUUUGGAUAAUAGACAUCCCAUGCUUUAAACAUCAUCAUUGCCUACUCUAAAGUAUGCCAUCAUUGCCCUACAUUUUUGUCUUGUUUUUGGCAAUUCAUGGACACUCUCACGCUCUUCCUUCUCUCCCUUACGGUUGAAUUAGGGAAGAGGGCUGUUUUGGCUAUUUUUUUCCCCCAUUUUCACUUAUCUUUCCUCUAUAUAAUAAGCAUACAUCUGUCCACUACAAGACCACCAUCCACCCAUUCACCACUCUCUACCUUUACCUCUCUUUUUCCACCACAAACCUCCUUCUCCUUCUCCCAAAAUCCAAAAUCCAAACUCAUCCUCUUCCUCUUCCUCCCCCAAUCUACUCCAUCUCCUCCAUCACCACCACCAUUUCUAAUCCCAAUCCUCCAUUAACACCACCACUACUACACAAUUUCUCCACUCUCUUUCCUAUAUCACUUUCUCCAUCCACUUCACCUAUUCACACAAAGCAUAGAUCUAGCUUCACUACCUUUCAUCAUCAAGUCUUCAAGAGCAAGAAGGAGAGCCACCAUCACCACCACCACCAAGACGUGAGCUUGGGGACAAAUCAACACACCACUAAGCCAACUCUCUCCCUUAAACUCUAGAUCUAUUUUGAUGUUUGAUUUGAUUAUGGAGUUUGUUUAUGUAAUUAUGAGUGAGUAGUACUUUGUUGGGGUUAGGGUUGAAAGCCCUAACCAAUCUUGUAUGGAUUGAUGUUAUUUUAUGAUGUGAUGCAAUUUUAGUUAACAUUCCUACAUGCUAAUUCAAGAGUUCAAUGCAUAUGUUUAGAAUUUACCACUUUGAGUAUGUGUGUUUGCCAUGACAUGAUAAUGUUUUAGAGCUUGGUAACCUUUAAAUGUUAAAGCAUGAAAGCACACUAGGUGUGCAGGUAGGGGUUGUGAAUUACAAUCACUUACAGAUAAGCUUGGUUGGUUUGCAUAGUUUCUUCAUCUCCAAACUUUAUGCACUUAGGGUAAUGCAUUAGAUGUCUAACCAGAUUGAAAUGCAUGACUUAAGUAGUUAAGUACUACACUCGAGAGGGGUUGCUUGAUACCAUAAAAUGAGCAUGUCCCUUGUCAUACCCGAGAGGGAUGCAAGGAGAGAAAUUGGUUGAUUAGCUUAGCAUCAUUCAUAGUGAUUUGCAUCAAUACUUGCAAGAGAGGUUAGUGGUAGACAAUUCGAAUCCUAACAUCGUUCAUUAGACCACUAGUUUAGUUUAGAGUAAUUUAGUUUACAUUUGAGCAUUUAGUUUAGUUUAGUUAACUACUUCAAAAACCCAAAAUCAAAUCACUACUCCAUAUUGCACAUACUCACCAUGAGCUUAGCUUAGAUUUCCUUGUGUGUUUAGGUUUGUGAUUGUACAUUUGCACAUUCUAGCUCUCUUAAGGUUAACACCCUAGCUUGUCAAACUAGUGAAAGGAAUCCAAUCCUCGUGGGUUCGACAACCUUUCUUAAUCCCUAUACUAUUACUUGUGCCCCUUAUACUUGAGGGAGGCUUUUUGGCUAACAGUAGUUACCACCCACAACCAGGGAUUGAUCAUCCCUAAAGAUCACUCCAAUGCCUCCAUAAUUAGUGGUACUAUCAAAAGCUCCAUCAAAAUUUGCUUUCAACCAUCCACUUGGAGGCGGCACCCAUGGCUUGAAUUGACGCUUCUCACCGACCAUUUUCAAUAAGCAAGAACGAAUUAAGGUAUCAUAGGAACGAACCUGAUAGAAUAUCUGAGAUCCUGUACGACUCUUCCCCUCCUAGACACGCAAGUUACGCUCUUUCCAAACUGACCAUAAGACAAUGAGUAGUAAAGCAAAUUCUGCCUUACUGAGAAACUCCAAGCAAGUAUUGAACCAACCAAACAUGGACAUAGGUUGUGUAAUACAUUGAACAACUCUCCUUAACUCUGGAAACAUCUUAAUCAAACCUUUCGUGAAACAACAAUCCCGACUAAUAUGUUCAUCGGUCUCAUCCUCUUCAUUACAAAAUAAGCAUCCACUAUUAAGAAACACCAGUUUCGAUCUUAGAGCUGAUAUAGUAGGAAGAAUGGAAGAAGCCACUCUCCAAUUAUGGACUUUGAUCUUACCAGGUAUGCCGGAAAACCGUAUACUCUUCAAAACUUGAACAGUUUCAUUAUUAUAUGAACCCGAUGGAGAAUCAUGUACUAAUUGCCUAGCAAGUUGAUAAGCUGAUUGGGUAGAGAACCUCCCUUUCGGAUCAUAAUGCCAUAUCAGUUUAUCUUGAAGCAAACAACGACUAAGAGGCAUAGCUAGAAUAAGGUCCAUAUCAGCUUGUUCAAAAUGUUCCUCAAUAAGAUUGACAUUCCAUGUUCCUUCAACAGUAAUAAAAUCACUAACCUUGGCAUAUGCAACACUGCGACGACUUAAAGGUCUGAAGUCCCUUGGUCUUGGUAACCAAGGGUCAUCCCAUGCAUGCACUAAACUCUCGUCACCAAUUUGCCAUCUUGUCCCAUUUACUAACAAGUCCCAAGCUUCAAAAAUACCUUUCCAACAUGCAGAAGGAGAUUGAGGAGUAUGAGCUAUCCAAAAGGAGUUUUGUGGAAAGUACCUAGCCUUAUACAGUCGGCCAAGAAGAGAAGAAGGAUUUUUGACUAGUCACCAACCCUGUUUGGCCAACAAUGCCAAGUUGUGAGCAGAUAAGUCCCGAAAACCCAUACCUCCCUCUUCUUUAGGUCGACACAAUUUCUCCCAAGACAUCCAAUGAAUCUUCUUAUUUUCAGCAUUAUUACUCCACCAGAACUUCGCACACAUUUGAUGUAAUAAAUUACAGAAAGAUUUCGGCAACAGAAAACAACUCAUAGAAUAAGCUGGCAAGGCCUGAGCAACUACUCGGAUCAAAAUAUCCUUACCGACUCCACUAAGAAGUUUCCCUUGCCAUCCUAUAAGCUUUUUACUCAACUGAUCUUUAAUAUAAGCAAAUGUCUCUGUGUGUUACGCCCUACAACAGUAGGAAGGCCCAGGUACCUGUCAUGUUUCUAUACAAUACUCACAUAUAGUACAUCAGCAAGAGUAAGUCGAAUAUCAUCAGGAACAACCUUACUAAAAACAAUCUUACUUUUAGUAAAGUUGACCUGUUAACGCAGCCUCACAAUCUUCAAGCACCGAUUUAAUAACCAUGCAUUCAUCUAUUGUGGCCUUACCAAAUAGUAAAUUGUCAUCAACGAAAAGUAGGUGACUAAUUACCGAAGCACCUUGACAGAUCGAAACACCCUGUAGCAAACCUUCUGCCACUCUCUUCUCCAACAGAGUCGAAAAAACCUCAGCACAUAACAGGAACAAGUAUGGUGAAAAUGGAUCACCUUGCCUCAACCCACGAGAGGGUUUUAAAGAACCACAAGGUUGACCAUUAAUCAAAAAAGAGUAUCUGACCGUCGAUACACACUGCAAAAUUGUACCAACCCAUCUUGAAUCGAAACCAAGACGCAACAGUACAGCCUCCAAAAACACCCAUUCCAUCCGAUCAUAGGCUUUACACAUAUCCAACUUCAAAGACAUUACUCCCUCCGACUUAUCAGAAUUGAUGAAAUGUGAAACCUUAUUAAUUAGCUAUAAGAGAAUUAUAUGUGAUCAAUCUUCCUGGAAUGAAAGCACUCUGAAAAGGAGAAAUAAUAGAGGACAAAUGUUUCUUCAACCGAUUAGCAAUCACCUUGCUACAAAUCUUGUAAAGCACAUUACAUAACGCAAUUGACCUUAAAUCUGAAACUUGAGUUGGGUUUGGCACCUUAGGAAUCAAACACACAUGUGUAUUGUGUAUAGUUAACAUCGAUGCUUCAACAACUGACCCAAUUGGAGAAAACUCCUCACUGCAGUACAAAUAUCAUCACCGAUAGUAUCCUAAUAUUUUUGAAAAAAUUUAGGUGGCAUACCAUCAGGACCCGAAGAUUUGGUCGGAUACAUCUGAAAAAGAGCCGUUCUUAUUUCCACAUUUGAAUAUGCAGUGCAAAGGUCCUCAUUCAUGUCCGACUGUAAUAGAUUCACAACAGAAUUCAUAUGCUCCACGUCAAUCCAUUCGGAAUGAAACAUUGAUUUGAAAUAGUUUAGAAUAACCUGCUCCAUCCCACUCUCAACAGGUUGCCAAAUUCCAUUCGUGUCGAACAGUCCAGUGAGGGGAUUUUUAGCUCUUUUGUGAAAAGUCUGCCUAUGAAAUUUUUUUGUAUUUUUAUCACCCUCGGUAAGCCAUGUGAUCUUGGACCUUUACUUCCAAUACAAACACUCUGCUUCCAACAGACCCUCCAAUUUUAAUGACAAUGCAGCAUAUUCCUCUCGAUUGUUAGAAGACAAUGGCAGAGACAUCAAUUGUUGUAGACGACCACAGAUUAGUUCCACUUCCUUCCUCCGACUCCUAAAAGUUAUCCAUUGCCAAGAGUUCAAAGCCAUUAUGGUGUUCACUAUUCUCGACAUUGUUUGAUACAAAGGAACACCGAAGACGCAUUGCGCCCAACCAGCAACCACUACAUCCUUGCAGCCUUCAUGUUUAGUCCAGUACGAUUCAAAAUGGAAUCGGGAAGGACGCCUAAUACACUGCAGUGGAGUACAGUCGAAAACUCUUAAAAGAAGAGGAACGUGAUCACCAUGUACUGAAGGAAGAUUUAGAACCCGGGAAGCCGGGAAAAAUCCAACCAACUUGGAGACGCCACUACACGAUCUAAUCUGCAACGCACCUCUCCCCCUUUCCAAGUAUAUGGAGCACCAAAAUAACUCAAAUCCAAUAGUUUUGUCGAAUCCAAAGCCUCUUGGAACUUCCACAUUUGCUCAAGAUUGUGAGAAAGCCCUCCAUCCUUCUCCCCAAGAUUUAGAAUCUCGUUGAAGUCGUCUAUCACCACCCAAGGAAGCGAUGACACCUCAUACAAAUCUUGAAGAAGCGUCCACGAGAGAUGACGAUUUGAUGCAGAUGGUUCACCAUAAAAGCCAGUAAGCCGCCAAGCUAUUCCUGAUCCAUCUGUAGCAAAAACCUCGACAUCAACAUGAGAUUUAGAUUUAGAUUUAGACAAAAAGCAGACAUCUAGGCCAUCUUCCCAGAACAGAGCGACCCCUCCAGAUUGUGCCUCACUAUAGAUUGUUUCACAAUUGCGAUAUCCAAUCAUGAGCCGCAACCAGUUCAUAUAAUCCUGAUCAUUAACCUUUGUCUCAGAAAGAAAGAUGAACGAAGGUUUCUUCUGCCAUAUUAGGGUUUGCCCUGAACAGAUCUAUCGUUGUUGAGACCCCGACUAUUCCACGCCAAAAUCUCCAUAGAGUUUGAGGUUGAAGGUGCUAAACGAAACCCUAGCAGAGCUAGACGUUUCGUUCUCUUUUUUUGGAAACUAAAUACUUAAGUUUUCAUUGGUUUUGUUUUCUUUCCUCUCUAGUAAAUGAUUUUCAUAAUUAAAAACUUAUCUUUGAUUAUGAAGUAUGCGUCGAAAACUUGAUCUGGUAAAUGUUUAAGGUUGAGGCGUGUAAACACUACCUUUAAUAGUGGAUUUCGCCCUUCGGAGACAAUGUCUCGGUGUAGCAGGUUUAUGGCGACCUACCCUCCAGGGUACAACAACCGUUAAUCCUUGUAAGCGUACACUCGUAAUACUUGGAUCGUAGAGCCGCUUGAUAACUCCUUUUGGCAUAACUCAUAAUAUAGUUGGACUCACAAGAGGAAUGACUAAGGAGAAAUAAGAAUAGAGAAUAGGAUGAAUAUUUCAUUGUGUAUAUAUUGAUAAGCUUGACAUGGAGAGUAUAUAGAGUAGUGUAUGAGAAGAUAUAAUCAUGAAAGAAUAAAGGCUUGUACUGACAACAUUCAAAUCAUGAAGUUAAGGAGAAUAACGGACAAAUAGAAAAUGAAGGAAUGAAUAAUUUGAUUGAGUAUUGUAACCUACCACAAUUGUCAUAAACUCAUGUAACUGAAAAUAUUUAUGGCAAUGAAUAACCAUUUGAAUGUAACAUCUGAAUCCAGUUGGAUCAAGAGACACUAAACACAAAUAUUUUGAAAUAUCACAUCAAAAAUAUCACUAAACAAACAUACAAUACUCAAAUGUGUUUACAAAUUGGAAAUCCUUUUACGGUCAUCAAAAGCUGUUUUUUCAUUUUAUAAAAUUGCUUACAUAAAUUGGGACCUAUUUUAUAUGAAAAAUGUUUCAUUUUUUAUCCCAACUUGGUACUUGGCAAAGACAAGAAAUGUUGUGAUAUCAAAACAUAUAAUCCUCCAGGCUUCUUGUGGUUAGCAUAUGAAUUCAUGAAAACAUUGAUAAAGGCUGUGAGGAAAUUUAAAAAGUUGAGGGCUACCUUAUUUUUGAUUCUUUAUUCUUUGAAAAUAGGACCACAUUGCAUGAUUGCAGACUAACCCAAUUAUUAUGGCUAAUUGCUAAUUUUUUAGACCGAUAAUGGCACCUAAAUGCAUUAUCUCAAAUUACGUCCUCAGCUUUUCAGCCUCGACCAACAACAAUUAGGUUGUGAAAGAGACAAAACCUUAUGUAUGCUGACUGUGUUUUCCAGAAGAUUAAGAACGUUUAUGCAAGACAAAAGUCAGGAUCAUAUCGAAUAGUAACUAAUCUUAAUCGGUACUAUACGUCCAUACUACGUACCAUCUAAACUCUAAAGCUCCAUAGUUUGCUAGGUAUUAAUUUCCGCAUGCCAACUUGGGACUAGACAAAACCUAUAAAUCUUGCCAAACCUAAUCUGAAAUUUCUUGACUAUUUCUCAAUAGUCUGUAUGUACUAUUUGUACAAUCACUACAACAUGAUCCCAUUUGAACUCAAAUACUUAAGUGGGCAAAGUUCAUAUUUUGUUUUUGGAAAAUAAUGACAAUUAAAAUGCUAAUAUAUAUAUAUAUAUAUAUAUAUAUAUAUAUAUAUAGCUAGAGCCGUACGGCCCUAGGAGGAUCUUAUUUUCUUUCUUUUUUUUUUUGUUUUUUGUUUUUUUUUUGGGUAAAUAAACGAGUAAAUUAAACAAAAAAUGAAAGGGCAUAUUAAGCACAACCAAAGCCAGAGGCAACAAAGACUACAGAACUAGGAAAAGAAAAACAAGCUUAUUGUUUUAUGAUAAUUGAGAAGGACCACAAUGAAAGGGCAAAGCAAGUGUUAUAUCAUAAUGCAUCAAGUGUUCUAACGAUUUCUAUUAUAUUGGUGAUAAUUCAUUACCAAAAUCCUUCAGUUCAGUUAAAUUAAGCCUAUUUCUACACAAAAGGGAUUAGAAAAAAAAAUUAAUUAGAAAGAUGCAUAUAGCAUCACCAGAAAUAAAAAAAAGGGAAAGGCUGGCUUGCAUUCUCUAUAAAAUGCACUCCAUGGAAACUCUUCAUAUCAUGGGAUCCCAAACACCCCAGCUUCACUUUACCUUAUUCCCUCUUAUGGCCCAAGGCCACAUGAUUCCAAUGGUUGAUAUGGCUAGAAUGUUGGCACUGCGAGGUGUUACCAUAACCAUUUUCACCACACCAUGCAACGCCGCCCGUUUCAAAUCAGUCCUUGAUCGUUCCAUCGAAGCCGGGCUUCAAAUUCGAGUAAUCGAACUGAAGUUUCCAUGUCAAAAGGCAGGACUACCGGAGGGGUGCGAGAACUUCGACAUGUUACCUUCACCCGACCUAGCCUUCAACUUCUAUAAUGCAACAGCAAUGCUGCAAGAGCAAGUAGAGAAGUUGUUCCCAGAGCUCACACCGAAGCCAAGUUGCAUAAUCGCAGACCUAUGCUUGCCUUACACAAACAACAUUGCUAACAUGUUUGAUGUACCAAGGAUAAGUUUCCAUGUACAUUGUUGCUUUUCACUCUUGUGUAUGUACAAUUUACGAGUUCAUUCCAAGUUUCUUGAGAGUGUAACCUCCGAUUCGGAGUACUUUAUUGUUCCAGGUAAUUUGCCUGAUCCAAUCGAGGUUACGAAAGCUCAGAUACCAGGACCAUUACUUCCAAACUUGAAGGGUUUCCUUAUCGGAAUGGGAGCAGCUGAGAGAGCCUCAUACGGUUCCAUUGUGACCACUUACGAAGAAUUCGAGGGAGCAUAUGUUAAUGAGUACAAGAAUGCAACAAAAAAGAACCAUCUCUGGAGUAUAGGACCAACCUUUUUGUGUAACCAAGAUGACUUGGAAAGAGGAAACAAGUACUCAAUUGAUAAAAAUCAGUGUUUGAAGUGGCUUGAUUCCUGGGAACCAAACUCUGUGCUCUAUGUUUGCCUUGGAAGCCUAUGUAAUCUGAUGCCUUCACAACUCUUAGAGCUUGGCUUGGGGAUAGAAGAGACAAAGAGGCCAUUUAUUUGGGUACUAAAGGAAGGGAGAACAUCAAAAGAGUUAGAGGAGUUGAUCUUGAAAGAUGGUUUUGAGGAAAGAAACAAAGAAAGAGGCCUUGUGAUCAGGGGUUGGGCACCUCAAGUGUUGAUUUUGUCACACCAAUCAACUGGAGGGUUUAUAACACAUUGUGGAACGAGUUCAUUUCUUGAAGCAGUAUGUGCUGGGGUUCCCAUGGCCACUUGGCCACUAUUUGGUGACCAAUUUUUUGCUGAGCAUCUUCUUGUGACAGUUCUGAAAAUUGCUGUGAGAAUUGGGGUGCCAAAACCACUGAAUUGGGGAGAGGAAGAGAAGACUGGGAUAUUGGUGUAUAAGGAAACUGUGAAGGAAGCCAUAGAAAUAUUAAUGGAUGAAGGUAAAGUAAGCCAAGAGAGAAGGGAGAGAGUUAGGGAGCUUGCAAUUUUGGCAAAGAAAGCUGUACAAGAAGGGGGUUCAUCUUAUGCCAACAUUACAAAUCUAAUCCAACAUUUCAUGCAAUUAUGAAGUGGUGGGUGUGAUGAAUCGCAUGUUUGGUUUCAAGGUGUGUGUUGUUUUUAGUGUUUGAAAGAUGUAUUUGCAUCUUUGUCCAAAGAAGAAAAUAAAAGAAAAGUGUGUGCUCUCCAAGGUGAUGACACUCAUGUGUAUCCUUGGGUUUGUUAUUGUUGUCAAUCAAUUGUAUGAUGGAAAUAAGAUUGAAGACUUAUUGUUUGGUACCCUUUGGUUAUGGGAAUUCAUAGUGCAUGUUUCAAAGGAGAUAAGAGUCAAAUCACUUUUGAAGGUGAUCAAGUCAAGAAGAUACAACUUAAAAGAAAAUAAGUUAAAAAUCCCUUUUGGUACGAGUCUUUGCAUAAAGAAUAUUAUAGUUGCAACUCAUGUAGAAUUAGAUCAACAAUGAUUUCAAGUAAUUUUAUGCAUGUUUAUAUAUUAAAAGGUGUUGUAAAUAAUUAUUAGUUAGUGGAUAUUCUUGUAAUUAGCCGACUAUGGUUGUUAUUGUAAUUUACAUCAUUACCUCAUCUCUAUAUAAGAGAGUUCUCAACUCAAUGAAAGACACACAUAUUAUCUCAUUCUCUUGGUUGUUUCUCUCAUUUCUCAAUCUUUUCAUUUUCGUUUUAUAACACGUUAUCAGCACGAAUAGUUCUAAUGUUGAGGUAGUUUUUAUGCAGCAUGGAAGAGAGACCGUUGAUCAAUCGAUAGAAGAAUCAUUCAACAUGGUUUAGAAUUUCAAUCACAAACAAGCUCUCGGAUUGGAUUAGAAGUUUAGUCCACCAAUAUUUUCGGUUCUGACACAUGAGAUGAACACUCAUUGAUUCGCUCUACAUCAAGUAAAGUCUUCUAAAUUUUUAUUAUAAUUCAUGUUUCUUUCAAACCUUGAUUACGUGAAAAACCACCCUGAAACAUGAACCAUAUGUUGUUUAUGUUUCGAUCUUGUGAUUUCAUGUUUUUUACCUUUGGUUGCAUAUUGAAAAAUCCGCCUACGAUGCAUGAACACCAAAUUUAUUUUAUUAGUCUAUUUGGUUAAUACAUAUGAAUAUGAAAUGUCAUAUAAAUUUUCUUAUGUUAUGAGAAUUAGGAAAAAAAAAAUAUAACACCAAAAGGAAAAUCACUACGGAGGCCAGUAGCCACAGAAAUCAGCCUUUACAACUGCCUAGUAGUGCAGACAAGGAGGCACAUGGAUCAGGAAAUUUUUUUUUUUUCUAUGACAUCCAAACUCAGGAUCAUGCAUGCGUUCCGGUAGUAGAGCUUGUAACCGUUAAGGGUUUACCACUAAUUUAGUCAUUGAUAGCAAACAUUACUUAUAUUCCAUAUUCAUUAUGCCUGAAGCAUUUAGUGAUAAGAAGGAAUUAAAAAUUAUUUUAAUGAGUUUGAAUAAAAUGCGUUAAUACAUGUUAUGGCAUUUCAACGUUGAUUAUGUUACUUAAUUGUAACUUAACAUAUACGUUUUGUUAGUUACAAAUUUGAAUUGUUUCAAAUUCAAUGUCAUUUAAGCGCAUGUAAUGCUUGAAACAUUUACCAAGUUAUAACAUAUAGAUUAUGCUACAAGAAUUAUGGGUUAAAUUAUUGCAGAAUUUAUGAUAGAAACGUUAUGGUUACACCAAUUUAAAUAAUGUCAUUUUAAUCCAUUAAGUAUUAAUUUUGGGUUUUAAUUACACGAUUAUUGCAUAAACGUUAUGCCAGAAGCAUUUAUCCAACUUCAUACCUAUACGUAAUGCUAGAAACAUUAAUGAGAUUUGAACUCAUUGGGAAGGAAAUCACUUGUCCCAGAAUUGCCCUGUGCCCAAUGUGUCAUUAAUAAAAUUUUGACAUGUGGAUCUCAGUCAUCACACUACCAGGACAAGCAUUUUAGCCGACGAAAAAGUUUCGUUGGCCUGUUAGCUUAAUUCGUCGACUAUGGUUUCGUCGGGAAAGGGUCGUCGACGAUGACUUUAGCCGACGACACUAGAAGACGUCGUCGGCUAUUAUCUGGGACAAUAGCUGACGAAUAUCUUAAAUGUUUCGUCGACCAUAGUCUGAGACUUUAGCCGACAACGAUAUUCGUCGGCUAAAGUAUGUAAUAAAAAAUUAAAAAAAUAACUAUAGCCGACGAAAUAUAGUCUGUUUCGUCGGCUUUAGAAGUGUUUAGCCGACGAAACAUGCCAUAAUUCGUCGGCUAAACCUUAUAAAAAAAAUUAAAAAAUACUAUAUCCGACGAAUAUCUUUGGCUAAAGUUGUUGGUUUUUGGAAAAAAAAACUGCAGAAACUUUCGGCCACCUCCAAUCACCACCAAAAUUUGACAGAAUCUUCCUCUCAACAUUUCGAACAACUUUCUAGAAGAAGUCGAAGCCCAAUUCUAAGCCUAAACAGGUCAAUUGAAUCAAAAUAUUAAAAUCCCCAAUUUUAAACCCUAAAAACUUCAAAUCUUCGAUUCUCCUCAUACACACCGAAUCGAGCUACCAAAUUCUAGGUGAAUGUAGUACUAAUCAAACUCAACUUAUCCAUAUAUGGAACUCACCAAAUGGUGACCUGAGGAAGGAGAAAUUUGAUCGACACCGAAUCCGAAUCGGCGGAGUUUUGGAGCUCGGUUUAUCCCUCACAACGGCGCCACUCGAUGCACCACCUGUCCAGCAAUGAAGUAGAGACGACAGCGAAGCUUUUGGGACAAGUGUGGCGGUCUCCGGUGGCUUGAGGGCGGAGCUAGGCAGAGAAGAAAAUCCGGCAGGAGAAACAAUAACUUUUUCUGAUUUUCUGACUUUUUACGUACCAUCCACCUCCGGUAAAACUCCUAUAUAAAAAAUUUUACCCGACGAAAUUCUUUAUUUUCGUCAGCUAAACUCUUUUGAAAACUGGAUCCGACAACGUUAAGGGCUCGAUCGAAACGGUCAACCAUAAUCCAUCGUCACUUAUCACCCGAAAAUGCUCAUAUCUCCCUCUAUAUUACAUAGUUUGGUCAAACCUUCCACAUGAAAAACUCUCACGUAGAUGAGACGCAACUGCCCAUAUAAAAAUUUUGAGACAUUUACCUUCCGACGAUAGGGCUCCCCAUAGGGAAUAAUAAAGGUAAAUAGGGUUGACCGCUACUAUCGGCACCUAGACGUUACCCGGUUUACGUGAUUUUUGAACCAUAGUCGUAUUUCACCAUUCUGAACACAUCUUAUUUCACAAGAUUUUUGAUAAUUUUGCUUCCUAUGUAGAGUUGGUUCACAAAGUUGUAUAACCUACUAAACAAGUUAUACAACAUUAGGAGACACGUGAUUCCGAUGACUAAAAUUCACAAAUCAAAAUUCGACCGUCAGAUAUGAUCAUUAUGACGAAAGAUGUCUAUGGUAAAAAAUUCAACUGGAUUCGACAACGUUAAGGGCUCGAUCGAAACGGUCAACUCUAAUCGGAAAUAAGAAAACUGCAUUUUGAAGCCCUAAACGGACUCGGAUGGCCAAAAAUGCUCAUAUUUUAUGGCAAAGUGAUGAGUUUGACUCGUAGGGCCGUUACGCUUCCGGAAAGGUAUUACAAUAGUCAAUCAGACACUGAACGCCAAAUCUGCAGCAUACCGGGUUUCUACUGUUCUACAUCAGAGACGUUACCCGAUUUACGUGAUUUUUGAACCAUAGCCGUAUUUCACUAUUCUGAACAUAUCUUAUUUCACGAGAUUUUUGUUAAUUUUGCUUAUAUGUAGAGUUGGUUCACAAAGUUGUGUAUUUGUUUAAAACCUACUAAGCAAGUUAUGCAACAUUUUAUUGUUUUUCUUUUAGCCGACGAAUAAUAGCCGACGAGAUUUUUUUUCUUCUACUAAAAUACUUUAGCUGACGAGUAAAAACUUUGGCCGACGAAGGAAAACUUUGGCCGACAAAAAAAAAAUUUUGUCGGCUAAAGUAUAGUAUAGCCGACGNNNNNNNNNNNNNNNNNNNNNNNNNNNNNNNNNNNNNNNNNNNNNNNNNNNNNNNNNNNCGUACGUCUCUCUCUCUCUCUCUCUCUCUCUCUCUCUCUCUCUCUCUAACUCAAACAAUUUGAACACCUUUGUCUCAUCGAUCUCUCUCUCUCUUGUCUCAUCGAUAUGUCAAUUUUUUACUAAAAUCGAUUUCGUUGCAAGAAACUAACUCCUCUUGUAUGCUCUCUUGAGAUUGAACUCAUUGAAGGCAAAAGUUGCAAAGUCUACAUUUAACAUAAGACACAACUAAUAUUUUCAUGAGAAAUGUCUACCAUUUGGAUAAGCAAAAUCACAAAAAAUUAGACUUUCUGGAAAUCAAAAUUGUUCUUGCAAUACCAAAAGAAAGGCUUUAGCCGACGAAAAUAAAAAAACCAUGCCGACGAACCAUUUUUUCGUCGGAUAAAGUUCACGUUAGCCGACGAAAGAAAAUUUCGUCGGCUAAUUUAAAUUUUCGUUCGUCGGCUAAAGAAUUUUUUUCGUCGGCUAAAGUUCACAGACUAUAGCCGACGACUUUAACCAUACUUUAGCCGACAAAAUUAAAAUUUCGUCGGCUAAAGUGCUUUAUAUUCGCAGAUCUAGACUGCAGCUUAUCUAGGGAAAAAAAAAACGGGAGAAGAAAAAAACGGGAGAAAAAAGUUUGGGUGUUGUCAAAAUCUGUCCAUAAUUAGUUUGUGGAGCUAUAUAUAGGUACGUGUAUGUGUAUAUAUGUUGAUUUUGAGUUUUAUUUGAGUUGAUCGAUUUUGAGUGUGAUUGAGUUGAUCGAUUUGGUUGAUGAUUUGAUAAUAUAUAUGAAUUUGUUGUUAAUAAGUAGUAGAUAUAUAUAUAUAUAUGUUAAUUAAUUUAUAAUAUUGUGUUGAUGAUAUGAAGUUGUUGAUGAUAUGAGUUGAUGAUGUAUUUUGUGAUGAUG